rnacentral:lncRNA from 1 species
CACUUCAAGUAAAGAUGACACCUUUAUUUUGACUCCCCAGUCCAAAAGACAGAUUCAUAAUAAUUCGAAAUUGAUAUUUUCAGACAAUUUCGAAGGGGCGGCAUGCAUGAUAAUCAAGCCAAAUCCCCAAUUUUUUCCAGCAUGUUUCCAAAGCAGAGAACCGCGAAAUUGAGCAUUAAAUAUGGUUGCUCCCGCCUUAAUCAACCCAAACAAAAUCAUGGGAACAACCUGUGUCCUUUUUCUGUUUUGUUUUGGACAAUCCUAUCUCUUAUUUUGCUACGACUAGUAAGAUCACAAGAACUUCCUGUUUUUGUGCAUAUACUCAUUGACAUCACUCCCAAACUUCAGACCUACUCAAUCCACAAGAGAAAACACCUCAAAUGAGUUCACAUACCUCCAUUGGGACGAAAGCAAAAUACAAGAAAAGGGAAUUAAGUCUGAUGUAGUGGGCCUGUAACACCUUUGUUCACACCGUCGGGCUAGGACGAAGAGGACCCGAUGUCGCCGUCAGCCUCAUAGAGCUCUUGCACAAGGACUCGACAUCGUCAUGCUCAAACAAAGAGGAAAUUUGGGGACUUGACGAAGAAGAAGGAUGCUCAAACGAAGAAUUGAAGGAUCGAUGAACAAGAAGCAGACUCCAUGUACAAGAAGUACACCAUGGAGACAUGGACGAGAAAGGCCGAUGAAGAGGUAAGGAGAAUUUGAGAAGAGAACUCCAUAAAUUAGGAGAAGUGAAGAAAACUGGGUUUUAGGGCUUGGAAAUUUGGGGCAAACCUUAGACAGAGACAUUUUUGCACACAAACCUUUUCUUUUAAGUUCUACACCAAGUAGGAGGGUGAAAUGAAUAAAAAAAUGCACUGUCAGCAUUUCCAUUAGCCAAAUUGAACAGCAUUAACAAAAGGACUCAGUUGCACCAAAUUGACAAGUUUUAGUACUUGAUUGCAUUUUCUCGACCAAUUCUAAAACUUAUGGUACACUUAUCCCUUUAACGUUCUAUUUUUACUGUAAAUAUUGCAAAUCGUGGAACUCAUCUUCAUAAUGAUCAGUAUUAAGUAAGAAAUGGACAAAAAAGUGGAACAUAUUACGUAGAAAAUAUGCCAAGUAAAAACAUUCGUGUGACUACAAAAUGAGAAAACAUUUUAAAUAAUAGGCUCUAAGCUAUUCUUUAUAUAUAUCUCCUACGAUAUGAAAUUUUUCCAAAUAUCUGUGAUAAAAACUGAAGUUCUCUCUGGUCUUCAAGCAACAGAAACCCUGGUGACCUCUGAUAAACCAAUUAUUUAAAGUUCAGUGCAGUCCCCACUGAUAAACCAAGUAUAUUCCACCAUCUUCGCCGUCAGGAGGAAUACUAAUAAACCAGGUACUUAAACUUCAGUACAGUCAACACUGAAUGCAACCAAACCAAGUGUUCAAACUUCAGGCAUAUGCCUAGUCUACCGACAGGAAUUUACCUCAAAUAGAGUCAGGAGAUCCUCCGUCCUUCCUGGUACGCGCAUUUGUUCUUGUGCACUGCUCUCUGCACGCGAAACCAACAAUGGGUGCCAAAACAUCGAUAGGUCUGUUGAUGCAGUCGGUGCACUCUCUUCCUCCUACAGAAACCGGAGACAUUAACAAACCCAGGGCAUUGUAUAUCACCAUUUUUGUGGCCUCACCAGAGGAAGGCCACCUAAUUACCACAUGUUGGCCCUACUCAAAUUCGAUUUGACAAAGAAAUGACUAGACCAAUUUUAAGACUCAAAAACAAACACGUUUUAUCCAGGUUUUUGUUUCAUUGCUUGAAGGGCUCCAAGCAACAAAUUUGGCAACAUGGAAGAAGAAAAAUGAAUACCGUCUUCCCUAAGUUGCCAUCUAAUGCUAACGAUUGUAAUGCUGAGAACAUGCUUUUUUAACCCAUAGCAUGAAUGGUCCUGUACCCGCAAAAGCUUCAGCAUCUCAGACCAGAUUGUCCUUGAAAAUCAGCACUCCAAAAAUAGAUAGUACUUUGGAUCGUCAAAUUAUGUAGGCUUAGUUGAAGCUCUGAAUUGAAAAUAUCCCAAAUACAAUAUUAAAGAAAUCAUACAUUCAUUGGAUAUUCUGGAGAUUCUAAGUGUACAGAAAGCACUUUAAGUAAAGAUGAAACCUUUAUUUUGACUCCCCAGUCCAAAAGAUAGAUUCAUAAAAAUUUGAAAUUGAUAUUUUCAGACAAUUUCGAAGGGGCGGCAUGAUAAUCAAGCCAAAUUCCCAAUUUUUUCCAGCAUGUUUCCAACAGAGAGAACCGCAAAAUUGAGCAUUAAAUAUGGUUGCUCCUGCCUUAAUCAACCCAAGCAAAAUCAUGGGAACCCAUUUUCUGUUUUGUUUUGGACGAUCCUAUCUCUUAUUUUGCUAAGCCUAGUAAGAUCACAAGAACUUCCUGUGUUUGUGCAUAUACUCAUUGACAUCACUCCCAAACUUCAGACCUACUCAAUCCACAAGAGAAAACACCUCAAAUGAGUUCACAUACCUCCAUUGGGACGAAAGAAAAAUACAAGAAAAGGGAAUUAACCCUGAUGUAGUUGCCUGUAACACUUUUGUUCACACCGUCGGGCUAGGACAAAGAAGACCCAACGUUGCCGUCAGCCUCAUAGAGCUCUUGCCCGAGGACUCGAUGUCGUUGUGCUCAAACAAAGAGGAAAUUUGGGGACUUGAUGAAGAAGAAGGAUGCUCAAAUGAAGAAUUGGAGGAUCGAUGAACGAGAAGAGGACUCCAUGAACAAGAAGUACACCAUGGAGGCAUGGACGAGAAAGGCCGAUGAAGAGGUGAGGAGAACUUGAGAAGAAAACUCCAUGAAUUUGGAGAAGUGAAGAAAACUGGAGAAGAAAACCCAGUUAGGGCUUGGAAAUUUGGGGCAAACCUUAGACAAAGACAUUUUUGCACACGAACCUUUUCUUUUAAGCUCUACAACACGUAGGAGAGUGAAAUGAAUAAAAAAUGCACCUUCAGCAUUUUCCAUUAGCCAAAUUGAACAGCGUUAACAAAAGGACUCAAUUGCACCAAAUUGACAAGUUUUAGUACUCGAUUACAUUUUCUCGACCAAUUCUAAAACUUAUGGUGCAUUUAUCCCUUUAACGUUCUAUUUUCACUGUAAAUAUUACAAAUCGUGGAACUCAUCUUCAUAAUGAUCAGUAUUAAGUAAGAAAUGGACAAAAAAGUGGAACAUAUUACGUAGAAAAUAUGCCAAGUAAAAACAUUCGUGUGACUACAAAAUGAGAAAACAUUUUAAAUAAUAGGCUCUAAGCUAUUCUUUAUAUAUAUCUCCUACGAUAUGAAAUUUUUCCAAAUAUCUGUGAUAAAAACUGAAGUUCUCUCUGGUCUUCAAGCAACAGAAACCCUGGUGAACUCUGAUAAACCAAUUAUUUAAAGUUCAGUGCAGUCCCCACUGAUAAACCAAGUAUAUUCCACCAUCUUCGCCGUCAGGAGGAAUACUAAUAAACCAGGUACUUAAACUUCAGUACAGUCAACACUGAAUGCAACCAAACCAAGUGUACAAACUUCAGGCAUAUGGCUAGUCUACCGACAGGAAUUUACCUCAAAUAGAGUCAGGAGUUCCUCCGUCUUCCCUGGUAUGCGCAUUUGUUCUUGUGUGCUGCUCUCUGCACGCGAAACCAAAGAUGGGUCCCCAAACAUCGAUAGGUGUGUUGAUGUAGCCCCCACACUCUUUCUCUCCUACAAAAACCAGAGACAUUAACAAACCCAGGGCAUUGUAUAUCACCAUUUUUGUGGCCUCACCAGAGGAAGGACACCUAAUUACCACAUGUCGGUCCUACUCAAAUUCGAUUUAACAAAGAAACGACUAGAUCAAUUUUAAGACUCAAAAACAAACACGUUUUAUCUAGGUUUUUGUUUCAUUGCUUGGAGGGCUCCAAGCAACAAAUUUGGCAACAUGGAAGAAGAAAAAUGAAUACCGUCUUCCCUAAGUCGCCAUCUAAUGCUAAGGAUUGUAAUGCUGAAAACAUGCUUUUUUAGCCCAUAGCAUGAAUGGUCCUGUACCAGCAAAAGCUUCAGCAUCUCAGACCAGAAUAUCCGUGAAAAUCAGCACUCCAAAAAUAGAUAGCACUUUGGAUCAUCAAAUUACGUAGGCUAGUUCAAGCUCUAAAUUGAAAAUAUCCCAGGUACAAUAUUAAAGAAAUCACACAUUCAUUGGAUAUUCUGGAGAUUCUAAGUGUACAGAAAGCACUUUAAGUAAAGAUGAAACCUUUAUUUUGACUCCCCAGUCCAAAGGAUAGAUUCACAGUAAUUUGAAAUUGAUAUUUUAAGAAAAUUCCGAAGGGGCGACAUGCAUGAUGAUCCAGCCAAAUCCCCAAUUUUUUCCAGCAUCUUCCCAAAGCAGAGAACCGCAAAAUUGAGCAUUAAAUGUGGUCGUUACCGCCUUAAUCAACCAAAACAAAAUCAUGGGAACAACCUGCGUCCUUUAUCUGUUUUGUUUUGGACAAUCCUAUCUCUUAUUUUGCUAUGACUAGUAAGAUCGCAAGAACUUCCUGUGUUUGUGCAUAUACUCAUUGACAUCACUCCCAAACUUCAGAGCUAUUCAAUCCACAAGAGGAAACACCUCAAAUGAGUUCACGUACCUCCAUUGGGACGAAAGCAAAAUACAAGAAAAGGGAAUUAAGCCUGAUGUAGUGGCCUGUAACACUUUUGUUCACACCGUCGGGCUAGGACGAAGAAGAGCCGACGUCACCGUCAGCCUCAUAGCGCUGUUGCGCGAGGACUCGACGUCGUCGUGCUUGAACAAAGAGGAAAUUUGGGGACUUGUCAAAGAAGAAGGAUGCUCAGAUGAAGAAUUGGAGGAUCGACAACCAAGAAGAGGACUCCAUGAACAAGAAAUACACCAUGGAGGCAAGGACGAGAAAGGCCGAUGAAGAGGUGAGGAGAACUUGAGAAGAAAAGUCCUUGAAUUAGGAGAAGUGAAGAAAACUGGAGAAGAAAACCCAGUUAGGGCUUGGAAAUUUGUGGUAAACCUUAGACACAGACAUUUUUGCACACAAACCUUUUCUUUUAAGCUUUACACCACGUAGGAGAGUGAAAUGAAUAAAAAAUGCAUCGUCAGGAUUUUCCAUCCGCCAAAUUGAACGGAGUUAACGAAAGGACUCAGUUGCACCAAAUUGACAAGUUUUAGUACUCGAUUGCAUUUUCUUGACCAAUUCUAAAAAUUAUGAUGCACUUAUCCCUUCAACGUUUUAUUUUCACUGUAAAUAUUGCAAAUCGUGGAACUCAUUUUCAUAAUGAUCUGUAUUAAGUAAGAAAUGGACAAAAAAGUGGAAUAUAUUAUGUAGAAAAUAUGCCAAGUCAAAACAUCCGUGUGAAUAUAAAAUGAGAAAACAUUUUAAAUAAUAGGCUCUAAGCUAUCCUUUAUAUAUAUCUCCUACGAUAUGAAAUUUUUCCAAAUAUUUAUGAUAAAAACUGAACUUCUCUCUGAUCUUCAGCCAACAGAAACCCCGUCUAAUAAAAGAAGUAUUUAAACUUCAGUACUGCCCCCACUGAUAAACCAAGUAUAUUCCACCAUCUUUGCCGUCAAGAGGAAUACUAAUAAACCAAGUAUUUAACCUUCAGUAUAUUCCCCACCGAAUGCAAAGAAACCAACUGUUCAAACUUCAGGCAUAUGGCUAGUCUACUGAUGGGAAUUUACCUCAUAUUGAGCCAUCAUUCCUUGUACAUGCAUCCAUCCUUGUUUGCUGCUCUGUAGAAGCCAAACCACCAAUGGGUCUGUUAAUGCGGCCUCAAAACUCUCGUCGUCCUGCAAAAACCGGAGACAUUAACAAACCCAGGCCAUCGUAUAUCACCAUUUUCGUGGCCUCACCAGAGGAAGGACACCUAAUUACCACAUGUUAGCCCUGCUCAAAUUCAAUUUGACAAAGAACUGACUAGACCAAUUUUAAGACUCACAAACAAACGCAUUUUAUCCAUGUUUUUGUUUCAUUGCCAGAAGGGCUCCAAGCAACAAAUUUGGCAACAUGAAAGAAGAAAACGAAUACCGUCUUCCCUAAGUCUCCAUCUAACGCUGAAAACUUGCUUGUUUAACCCAUAGCACCAAUGGCGCUGUACCAGUAAAAGCUUCAGCACCUCAGACCGGAUUGUCCUUGAAAAUCGGCACUCCAAAAAUAGAUAGCACUUUGGAUCGUCAAAUUACGUAGGCUAGUUCAAGCUCUAAAUUGAAAAUAUCCCAAAUACAAUAUUAAAGAAAUCACCCAUUCAUUGGAUAUUCUGGAGAUUCUAAGUGCACAGAAAGGACUUUAAGUAAAGAUGAAACCUUUAUUUUGACUCCCCAGUCCAAAAGAUAGAUUCAUAAUAAUUUGAAAUUGAUAUUUUAAGACAAUUUCGAAGGGGCAGCAUGCAUGAUGAUCAAGCCAAAUCCCAAUUUUUUCCAGCAUCUUCCCAAAGCAGAGAACCACAAAAUUGAGCAUUAAAUAUGGUUGUUCCUGCCUUAAUCAACCCAAACAAAAUCAUGGGAACAACCUGCGUCCUUUUUCUGUUUUGUUUUGGACAAUCCUAUCUCUUAUUUUGCUAUGACUAGUAAGAUCACAAGAACUUCCUGUGUUUGUGCAUAUACUCAUUGACAUCACUCCCAAAUUUCAGACCUAUUCAAUCCACAAGAGAAAACACCUCAAAUGAGUUCACAUACCUCCAUUGGGACGAAAGCAAAAUACAAGAAAAGGGAAUUAAGCCUGAUGUAGUGCCUGUAACACUUUUGUUCACACCGUCGGGCUAGGACAAAGAAGACCCGACGUCGCCGUCAGCCUCAUAGAGCUCUUGCACGAGGACUCGACGUCGCCGUGCUCGAACAAAGAGGAAAUUUGGGGACUUGACGAAGAAGAAGGAUGCUCAGAUGAAGAAUUGGAGGAUCGAUGACCAAGAAGUGGACUCCAUGAACAAGAAGUACACCAUGGAGGCAAGGACGAGAAAGGCCGAUGAAGAGGUGAGGAGAACUUGAGAAGAAAAGUCCUUGAAUUAGGAGAAGUGAAGAAAACUGGAGAAGAAAACCCAGUUAGGGCUUGGAAAUUUGUGGUAAACCUUAGACACAGAUAUUUUUGCACACAAACCUUUUCUUUUAAGCUUUACACCACGUAGGAGAGUGAAAUGCAUAAAAAAUGCAUCAUCAGGAUUUUCCAUCCGCCAAAUUGAACGGAGUUAACAAAAGGACUCAGUUGCACCAAAUUGACAAGUUUUAGUACUCGAUUGCAUUUUCUUGACCAAUUCUAAAAAUUAUGAUGCACUUAUCCCUUCAACGUUUUAUUUUCACUGUAAAUAUUGCAAAUCGUGGAACUCAUUUUCAUAAUGAUCUGUAUUAAGUAAGAAAUGGACAAAAAAGUGGAAUAUAUUAUGUAGAAAAUAUGCCAAGUCAAAACAUCCGUGUGAAUAUAAAAUGAGAAAACAUUUUAAAUAAUAGGCUCUAAGCUAUCCUUUUUAUAUAUCUCCUACGAUAUGAAAUUUUUCCAAAUAUUUUUGAUAAAAACUGAACUUCUCUCUGAUCUUCAGCCAACAGAAACCCCGGUGACGUCUAAUAAAAGAAGUAUUUAAACUUCAGUACUGUCCCCACUGAUAAACCAAGCAUAUUCCACCAUCUUUGCCGUCAAGAGGAAUACUAAUAAACCAAGUAUUUAACCUUCAGUAUAUUCCCCACCGAAUGCAAAGAAACCAACUGUUCAAACUUCAGGCGUAUGGCUAGUCUACUGAUGGAAAUUUACCUCAUAUUGAGCCAUCAUUCCUUGUACACGCAUCCGUUCUUGUUCGCUGCUCUGUGCAGGCCAAACCAUCAAUGGGUCUGUUAAUGUGGCCUGCAAACUCUCUUUGUCCUGCAAAAACUGGAGACAUUAACAAACCCAGGCCAUUGUAUAUCUCCAUUUUCGUGGCCUCACCAGAGGAAGGACACCUAAUUGCCACAUGUUAGCCCUACUCAAAUUCGAUCUGACAAAGAACUGAGUAGACCAAUUUUAAGACUCACAAACAAACGCAUUUUAUCCAUGUUUUUGUUUCAUUGCCAGAAGGGCUCCAAGCAACAAAUUUGGCAACAUGAAAGAAGAAAACGAAUACCGUCUUCCCUAAGUCUCCAUCUAACGCUGAAAACUUGCUUGUUUAACCCAUAGCACCAAUGGCGCUGUACCAGUAAAAGCUUCAGCACCUCAGACCGGAUUGUCCUUGAAAAUCGGCACUCCAAAAAUAGAUAGCACUUUGGAUCGUCAAAUUACGUAGGCUAGUUCAAGCUCUAAAUUGAAAAUAUCCCAAAUACAAUAUUAAAGAAAUCACCCAUUCAUUGGAUAUUCUGGAGAUUCUAAGUGUACAGAAAGGACUUUAAGUAAAGAUGAAACCUUUAUUUUGACUCCCCAGUCCAAAAGAUAGAUUCAUAAUAAUUUGAAAUUGAUAUUUUAAGACAAUUUCGAAGGGGCAGCAUGCAUGAUGAUCAAGCCAAAUCCCAAUUUUUUCCAGCAUCUUCCCAAAGCAGAGAACCACAAAAUUGAGCAUUAAAUAUGGUUGUUCCUGCCUUAAUCAACCCAAACAAAAUCAUGGGAACAACCUGCGUCCUUUUUCUGUUUUGUUUUGGACAAUCUUAUCUCUUAUUUUGCUAUGACUAGUAAGAUCACAAGAACUUCCUGUGUUUGUGCAUAUACUCAUUGACAUCACUCCCAAAUUUCAGACCUAUUCAAUCCACAAGAGAAAACACCUCAAAUGAGUUCACAUACCUCCAUUGGGACGAAAGCAAAAUACAAGAAAAGGGAAUUAAGCCUGAUGUAGUGGCCUGUAACACUUUUGUUCACACCGUCGGGCUAGGACAAAGAAGACCCGACGUCGCCGUCAGCCUCAUAGAGCUCUUGCACGAGGACUUGACGUCGCCGUGCUCGAACAAAGAGGAAAUUUGGGGACUUGACGAAGAAGAAGGAUACUCAGAUGAAGAAUUGGAGGAUCGAUGACCAAGAAGAGGACUCCAUGAACAAGAAGUACACCAUGGAGGCAUGGACGAGAAAGGCCGAUGAAGAGGUGAGGAGAACUUGAGAAGAAAAGUCCUUGAAUUAGGAGAAGUGAAGAAAACUGGAGAAGAAAACCCAGUUAGGGCUUGGAAAUUUGUGGUAAACCUUAGACACAGACAUUUUUGCACACAAACCUUUUCUUUUAAGCUUUACACCACAUAGGAGAGUGAAAUGAAUAAAAAAUGCAUCGUCAGGAUUUUCCAUCCGCCAAAUUGAACGGAGUUAACAAAAGGACUCAGUUGCACCAAAUUGACAAGUUUUAGUACUCGAUUGCAUUUUCUUGACCAAUUCUAAAAAUUAUGAUGCACUUAUCCCUUCAACGUUUUAUUUUCACUGUAAAUAUUGCAAAUCGUGGAACUCAUUUUCAUAAUGAUCUGUAUUAAGUAAGAAAUGGACAAAAAAGUGGAAUAUAUUAUGUAGAAAAUAUGCCAAGUCAAAACAUCCGUGUGAAUAUAAAAUGAGAAAACAUUUUAAAUAAUAGGCUCUAAGCUAUCCUUUUUAUAUAUCUCCUACGAUAUGAAAUUUUUCCAAAUAUUUAUGAUAAAAACUGAACUUCUCUCUGAUCUCCAGCCAACAGAAACCCCGGUGACGUCUAAUAAAAGAAGUAUUUAAACUUCAGUACUGUCCCCACUGAUAAACCAAGUAUAUUCCACCAUCUUUGCCGUCAAGAGGAAUACUAAUAAACCAAGUAUUUAACCUUCAGUAUAUUCCCCACCGAAUGCAAAGAAACCAACUGUUCAAACUUCAGGCAUAUGGCUAGUCUACUGAUGGGAAUUUACCUCAUAUUGAGCCAUCAUUCCUCGUACACGCAUCCAUUGUUGUUCGCUGCUGUGUGCAAGCCAAUUCAUCAAUGGGUCUGUUAAUGCGGCCUGCAAACUCUCUUCGUCCUGCAAAAACCGGAGACAUUAACAAACCCAGGCCAUCGUAUAUCACCAUUUUCGUGGCCUCACCAGAGGAAGGACACCUAAUUACCACAUGUUAGCCCUGCUCAAAUUCAAUUUGACAAAGAACUGACUAGACCAAUUUUAAGACUCACAAACAAACGCAUUUUAUCCAUGUUUUUGUUUCAUUGCCAGAAGGGCUCCAAGCAACAAAUUUGGCAACAUGAAAGAAGAAAACGAAUACCGUCUUCCCUAAGUCUCCAUCUAACGCUGAAAACUUGCUUGUUUAACCCAUAGCACCAAUGGCGCUGUACCAGUAAAAGCUUCAGCACCUCAGACCGGAUUGUCCUUGAAAAUCGGCACUCCAAAAAUAGAUAGCACUUUGGAUCGUCAAAUUACGUAGGCUAGUUCAAGCUCUAAAUUGAAAAUAUCCCAAAUACAAUAUUAAAGAAAUCACCCAUUCAUUGGAUAUUCUGGAGAUUCUAAGUGUACAGAAAGGACUUUAAGUAAAGAUGAAACCUUUAUUUUGACUCCCCAGUCCAAAAGAUAGAUUCAUAAUAAUUUGAAAUUGAUUUUUCUUUUUUCAGACAAUUUCGAAGGGGUGGCAUGCAUGAUAAUCAAGCCAAAUCCCCAAUUUUUUCCAGCAUGUUUCCAAAGCAAAGAACCUCAAAAUUGAGCAUUAAGUAUGGUUGCUCCCGCCUUAAUCAACCCAAACAAAAUCAUGGGAACAACCUGCGUCCUUUUUCUGUUUUGUUUUGGACAAUCCUAUCUCUUAUUUUGCUAUGACUAGUAAGAUCCCAAGAAACUUCCCGUGUUUGUGCAUAUACUCAUUGACAUCACUCCCAAACUUCCGACCUAUUCAAUCCACAAGAGAAAACACCUCAAAUGAGUUCACGUACCUCCAUCGGAUGAAAGCAAAAUACAAGAAUAGAGGAUUAAGCCUGAUAUAGUGGCUUUUAAAACCUUUGUUCAAGCUGUCGGGCUAGGACGAAGAGGACUGGAUGUCGCCGUCAGCCUCAUAGAGCUCUUGCAUGAGGACUCGACAUCAUCACGCUCGAACAAAGAGGAAAUUUGGGGACUCGACGAAGAAGGACACUCAGACGAAGAAUAGGAGGAUCGAUGAACAAGAAGCAGACUCCACAAACAAGAAGUACACCAUGGAGGCAUGGACAAGAAAGACCAAUGAAGAGGUGAGGAGAACUUGAGAAGAAAACCCACAAAUUAGGAGAAGUGAAGAAAACUGGAGAAGAAAACUCAGUUAGGGCUUGGAAAUUUGGAGCAAACCUUAAAUGGAGACAUUUUUGCACACAAACCUUUUCUUUUAAGCUCUACACCGAGUACGAGAGUGAAAUGAAAAAGAAAAUGCACCGAAUGCAAUAAAUCAAGUAUUUAAACUUCAGUACAGUCCCCACCAAAUGCAACCAAACCAAGUGUUCAAACUUCAGGCAUAUAGCUAAUCUACCAAUGGGAAUUUAUCUCAUAUAAAGCCAGGCAUUCCUCCCUCUUUCCCCAUACACUCUCUUCCUCCUGCAAAAAUGGGAGACAUUAACAAACCCUGGGCAUCGAAUAUCACCAUUUUUGUCGCCUCACCAGAGGCAGGACACCUAAUUACCACAUGUUGGCCCUACUAAAAUUCGAUUUGACAAAGAACUGACCAAAUCAAUUUUAAGACUCACAAACAAACGCAUUUUAUCCAGGUUCUUGUUUCAUUGCCUAAAGGGCUCCAAGCAACAAAUUUGGCAACAUGAAAGUAGAAAAAUGAAUACCAUCUUCCCUAAGUCACCAUCUAAUGUUGAUGAUUGUAACGCUGAAAACAUGCUUUUUCUACCUAUACCACGAAUGGUGCUGUACCAGCAACAGCUUUAGCAACUCAGACCAGAUUGUCCUUGAAAAUCGGCACUCCAAGAAUAGAUAGCACUUUGGAUUGUCAAAUUAUGUAGGCUAGUUCAAGCUCUAAAGAAAAUAUCCCUAAUACAAUAUUAAAGAAAUCAUACAUUCUUUGGAUAUUCUGGAGAUUCUAAGUGAACAAAUAGCACUUUAAGUAAAGAUGACACCUUUAUUUUGACUCCACGGGCCAAAAGAUGGAUUCAUAAUAAUUUGAAAUUGAAUUUUCAGGAAAUUUCCAUGGGCGUUAUGCAUGAUAUUCAAGCCAAAUCCCCAAUCUUUUUAGCAUGUUUCCAAAGCAGAGAACCGCAAAAUUGAGCAUUAAAUAUAGUUGCUCCCGCCUUAAUCAACCGAAACAAAAUCAUGCGAACAAUCUGUGUCCUUUUUCUGUUUUGUUUUGGACGAUCCUAUCUCUUAUUUUGCUAAGAUUAGUAAGAUCGCAACAACAUCCUGCGUUUGGGCAUAUACCCAUUGACAUCAUUCCCAAACUUCAGACCUAUCAAUCCACAAGAGAAAUCAACUCAAAUGAGUUCCCAUACCUCCUUCGGAAUGAAAGCAGAGUACAAGAAAGGAGAUUAAGCUCGAUGUAGUGACUUAUAACACCCUCAUUCACGCCACCCGGCUUUGGACGAAGAGGACCCGACAUCGCCGUUGGACUCAUCGAGCUCUUGCGCAAGGACUCGACGUCGUCGCGCUCGAACGAAGAUGAAAUUUGGGGAUUCGGCGAAGAAGAAAAAGGACACUCAGAUGAAGAAGAGGAGGAUCGAUGAAUGAGAAGCGGACUCCAUGAACAAGAAGUACACUACGGACGAGAAAGACUGAUGAAGAAGUGACGAGAACUUGAGAAGAAUACUCAAUCAGGGCUUGGAAAUGCUAAGUAAAACCAAUUGUUUCUUAUAAAAUGAGAGAAAAUUUUAAAUAAUAGGCUAUAAGCUAUUCUAUAUAUAUAUAUCCUAUAAAAUGAAGUUUUUCCAAAUAUUUGUGAUAAAAUCUGAACCUCUUACUGCAACUAUGUAACUUUCUCAUAUACAGAAAAAAGGAAAAGCCAAAAAAACGCAGAGAGAGAAAACAUCACAUGCGUCUACUGGUUUUUAAAGUAAGUGAGACCGAGACUUAUUGUAUGAUUGUUUCUUUUUUUAUUUUCCACAAUUAUUAUAAAUCUCCUUAUAGUUGAAUUUAUGUUUGUGAAUGGUUUUGCUGACUCACCUUAUAUUGCUUGAAAUCUUGGACGGAGCCUUCGAAUAUUGUCUUAAGCCCAAGUAAUUUCGGGCAACAACUAAUAAGUAAGUGGCAAUCAUUUGGCAAUUUGGUGGUCGAUACAUCAAUCGGACUUUCCAACAAUGGGUUGCUAAUAAGGGUUAACAGCUCCAAAAACUCCAUCUUGUCAAGGCCCUCGACAAUUCCAAGCACAGGGCAGAAGUCUAUGUGCAAGCACUUGAGAUUCUUUAAUUUUGACAAACCACCAAGACUUUGCAAAUGAUAACCAUAAGGUGUCGUUGUUUGCAACAAUUCUAACGUAUCAACAACUUGAAUACCGAGUAUAUUAUUGCAACACUGUAUGCAGAGUCUCUCCAACUUAUUGAAGACUCUCGAUGCAAAGACUAGUGAAGANNNNNNNNNNNNNNNNNNNNNNNNNNNNNNNNNNNNNNNNNNNNNNNNNNNNNNNNNNNNNNNNNNNNNNNNNNNNNNNNNNNNNNNNNNNNNNNNNNNNNNNNNNNNNNNNNNNNNNNNNNNNNNNNNNNNNNNNNNNNNNNNNNNNNNNNNNNNNNNNNNNNNNNNNNNNNNNNNNNNNNNNNNNNNNNNNNNNNNNNNNNNNNNNNNNNNNNNNNNNNNNNNNNNNNNNNNNNNNNNNNNNNNNNNNNNNNNNNNNNNNNNNNNNNNNNNNNNNNNNNNNNNNNNNNNNNNNNNNNNNNNNNNNNNNNNNNNNNNNNNNNNNNNNNNNNNNNNNNNNNNNNNNNNNNNNNNNNNNNNNNNNNNNNNNNNNNNNNNNNNNNNNNNNNNNNNNNNNNNNNNNNNNNNNNNNNNNNNNNNNNNNNNNNNNNNNNNNNNNNNNNNNNNNNNNNNNNNNNNNNNNNNNNNNNNNNNNNNNNNNNNNNNNNNNNNNNNNNNNNNNNNNNNNNNNNNNNNNNNNNNNNNNNNNNNNNNNNNNNNNNNNNNNNNNNNNNNNNNNNNNNNNNNNNNNNNNNNNNNNNNNNNNNNNNNNNNNNNNNNNNNNNNNNNNNNNNNNNNNNNNNNNNNNNNNNNNNNNNNNNNNNNNNNNNNNNNNNNNNNNNNNNNNNNNNNNNNNNNNNNNNNNNNNNNNNNNNNNNNNNNNNNNNNNNNNNNNNNNNNNNNNNNNNNNNNNNNNNNNNNNNNNNNNNNNNNNNNNNNNNNNNNNNNNNNNNNNNNNNNNNNNNNNNNNNNNNNNNNNNNNNNNNNNNNNNNNNNNNNNNNNNNNNNNNNNNNNNNNNNNNNNNNNNNNNNNNNNNNNNNNNNNNNNNNNNNNNNNNNNNNNNNNNNNNNNNNNNNNNNNNNNNNNNNNNNNNNNNNNNNNNNNNNNNNNNNNNNNNNNNNNNNNNNNNNNNNNNNNNNNNNNNNNNNNNNNNNNNNNNNNNNNNNNNNNNNNNNNNNNNNNNNNNNNNNNNNNNNNNNNNNNNNNNNNNNNNNNNNNNNNNNNNNNNNNNNNNNNNNNNNNNNNNNNNNNNNNNNNNNNNNNNNNNNNNNNNNNNNNNNNNNNNNNNNNNNNNNNNNNNNNNNNNNNNNNNNNNNNNNNNNNNNNNNNNNNNNNNNNNNNNNNNNNNNNNNNNNNNNNNNNNNNNNNNNNNNNNNNNNNNNNNNNNNNNNNNNNNNNNNNNNNNNNNNNNNNNNNNNNNNNNNNNNNNNNNNNNNNNNNNNNNNNNNNNNNNNNNNNNNNNNNNNNNNNNNNNNNNNNNNNNNNNNNNNNNNNNNNNNNNNNNNNNNNNNNNNNNNNNNNNNNNNNNNNNNNNNNNNNNNNNNNNNNNNNNNNNNNNNNNNNNNNNNNNNNNNNNNNNNNNNNNNNNNNNNNNNNNNNNNNNNNNNNNNNNNNNNNNNNNNNNNNNNNNNNNNNNNNNNNNNNNNNNNNNNNNNNNNNNNNNNNNNNNNNNNNNNNNNNNNNNNNNNNNNNNNNNNAAGUUGAGUAAGGGAAGCUAACUCAGUGGGAGCAGGAACAUGGAGGAGACACAAGCUUAAUUUUUUUAGUUUGGAUAACCCCUGAUCGACUCUAAAUCACCCAAUAUAAGUUCCAUCACGUUCGUCAAUUUUUUUGGAGCCGUCAUCUAGUUUCAACCUAACCAAAUUAGUCAAGUUUGAGAGGUCCGGCAACUCUCGGAUUUCAUCAAACCCUUUUAACAAGCCAAUUUCAGAAGGAAGUUGACUUUUCAAAUUUCCUUCAACCUGAAGCGGUUUCAGAUUCUCAAACUUUCCGAUGGCACUCGGUGACUCCACUGGAUGUGCAAUUGAAAGCUGCAACUUCCGCAAUGAUUUCCACUUAAAUAUGAAAUCCGGUAAUUCCUUCAUUGCACAACAAGAUCGUAAAGAGAAGUGCUCUAGAUUCUGUAGGUCCCUGAUUUUUUCAGGCAAACCUUCAAGGCGAAUGCAAAGAUCAAACUUUAAAUCUUUCAGAUCCUUUAACUUCCCAAUAGAGCCAUCAAUCUUCGUUAAGCCGUCGCAAGCGAAAAAUGUCAGCCUCUCUAAUUUUGAGCAUUCAGAUAAGUCUGGUGUUCUAGUUAUGCCAUGACAUUUAGCAAGACUAAGAACUUUCAAUUUUGUUGUCCCCUGUAAAAAGUGAAUGCAUUAUCCAAUGGAAGAGCAAUUCAAACGUUCAUUUUAAGGACAAAGAAAGGAAAUAAGCAUAUGACGCACCUUUAUUAACUGCAAUAAUUUCUGAUCGUCUAUACCGUGAACGAAUGAAAAGUCAAGGACAACCACAUUCUUGAAGCACAUAUUGGUCAGCUCACACUCUGAAAACAGAGAAUCUCUCAAAUGAAUCCAUUUUAGUUUGGGAAAACAAUCCAUUAGAUCGCCAACAAAGUUUCCUCCAUUUAAUCUAAGGAACCUUAGUUCUUUAAACCUUCCAAUCUCUUCACUUUUGAUACAUAUGCUUUUUUGAGUUACUUCCAUCGCUUGAACUUUCUUCAUCUCCAAAUAGCCAAGCAAGGAUCCUCCAUUUAAUCUAAGCAAUUCUUUAAAACUUCCAAUUUCUUCACUUUCGUGAGUUACUUCCAUCGCUUGAACUUUCUUCAUCUGCAAACGAGAACAAGAAAGGAGUAGCAUUCAGCAUUCCAUUUUAUUGAGGAAAAGUAUUAAAACCAAGAAGCAAAAAGAGAAUCUAUUAGUUCUCUCAUUAAGUGUUCCACCUCCUUUGUCUUCAUUGUAGUGAGGACUUCAUCUUGAAUCCAUAACCUACUACGCCCUUCAGGAAUUGUUCGAUUUUCUUGACGAACAAUUUCCCUUCCAAGACCUCCAAGUUGAUCGUGCAUCCAAAACUCAUUGUCGUUUACAAUCUUUAUCAAGGACUUGCUUUUGAGGACCUCAAUUCCACGGAUUGGGGAAAAACCACAAUCUGUCCACAUAUAAAUUGGGUUUGUCAUUAUCUCACCAAUGAAAAAGCAUGCAAUAUCCAGAAAAAUUUGUUGCUGCUCAAAAGUCAAUGCUUUAUAGCUAAUCCUCAACUUUUCGAAAACACUCUCUGGAGGUGCUUUGCGUAAAUCGUCCAAUGUUUCUUUCCAUAGGUCUUGUGUUCCAUGGUUCAGAAGUGAACCAAUUACUACAAUAGUCAAAGGAAGGCUUCCAGUAGCAAAUACAAUUUCCUUUGAAAUAUCAUCGCGAUCAUCUGGAGGAGAGUCCUUGUUAAACGCAUGUCUGCUGAAGAGCUGAAGUGCAUGAUCACUACUCAUCAUCUUCAUUUCAUAAGGUAAUAUACUGUACUUCAGUUGAGAGCCUUGCAAAAUAUCCUUGUUUCUAGUAGUAAUCAAUACUCUAGACCCUGAACACAAAGCACCUGUUCCAACUAAUUUCUCCACUUGUUCCCUUUCAUCAACAUCAUCCAAUACAAUGAAGACCUUCAUAUUGCAAAGUGUUUCUUCGAUCCUCUUCUUUCCAUAUUCAAUUGCAUCGAUGCAUUCUAUUCCUGCGGCACUUGCUAUUUCAGAUAAUAACUUCUUUUGCAAUUCAACUAAGCCAUCCAAUCUUGACGACUUUUCUCGAAUAUCUUCAAGAAAGGAGCAACGCUUUCCAAAGUGGGUAGAAAGUUCAUUAAACACGACAUUGGCAAGAGUUGUUUUACCGAUACCCCCCAUGCCAUGAAUUUGAACGAGCCGUCCACCUCUAGAGCCUACGUCUAACAAAUUUUUUACUGCUACCACUUGAUCAUCGAUUCUAAUUAAAUGUUCAGUCACAGACUUUUGCUUUGUCUUCAACUUCUUCACAACCUCGUCAACAACCAACUUAAUGAGUUCCCCCUGGCUGCCAUGAAGGAAAACCAUUUCAAUAGGGGAAAAUUGCAGGGAAGAAAAAAAAAAUCUAAAUUUCAUUCGUGAUACGAUUCCAUCAGACUUCGACGGAAUCUCCUUUUUAUUUUGUUCGUUUCCUAGCAGUUGAUGUUAUUCAAUUACGUUUGCUUAACUGCGCAAUAAUUCAAUAACCAAUAUGACAUCAACAAUCAAGACGUUUCUUCUCAAAUUUUGUACUGAAUGUAAGGUUUUCUUAGUUAUCACUUUUGAUAACUUAACAUUUGUAAUUUGAUGUGUUGCGCAAACCUUGUGUACUUGAUCUUGUAAAAUUCCAAAAUAACACCAAGCAUGCAUAAAACAAAUAUUUUGACUAGAAUGAUGUAAUUGACCUUAAAGGAUUUCAGAUUUGAUUUUUCUAGCUAAUUCUAUGAACCAUAAAAAAUAUGAAUCUACAUCACUUUCAAAGGCACUUUUCAUUCACAUUGCUAGGUGCCACGAGUUGCAUUGUGUCAUAAUGAAAAUUGACAAUCCCAACAUGUGAUUAGCAAUCCUCAAAUUAUGUUAAUCUUCUUUGUGCAAGAUGAAUGUACAAAUAUUUAUGCAUUGCGAAUUAGAAUUUUAUCAGUUAUAUUCAUGGGACAACCUUAGAAGUGGUACAUAAUAUGUUCAGGAGGAGAAAUGUUUGAUGCAUUAAUUGAAAGAUCAAAUUAUUAGACAGGAACGUGCAUGGUAUUCAUUUAUUCCACUUUGUCACCCAUAGUUCACAUUUUAUUUUACACGCAUACCAUUUAGUAUUACCUGUGGAAGUCCCACCUCAAAUGUUGUGAUAUAUCUCUAUUACUAAGUUUUGAGCAGUAGUUCUAGAAGCAUUAGAAUUUUACUAAGAGUUGCUUACUAAAUGACAGAAGUGAAAAAGGAAACAAAAUUCAUACAGACCAUCAAAGAAAGGAAAAAAUGAGCGUUUGUUUCUAUUUUUAUUUCUUCAUUAAAAAUAGACAUAUAUGAUAGUGCUUCUAGUGAAAUCAAGAACACUAAUAUUUUUAGUAGCUCUAGCAUGAUUCUUAUGUUUUUGGAUUCUCUUCUCCUACAUUUAGUAUGUUCCUUCUUUCUAUGAAUUAUAUACUUAGUUUUUGCAAUCAGGAAAAAGAAAUUAGGGAAAAUAGGGAUCUUAGAAUGCAGAAAGCUCACCCUUUGUAUUUCUUGACUUCCCACCCCUUUAUUGCAUCAACCUCUUUCAAAGCCUCUCUCCAGGAAUCUACUUGUUCAGUGCUCAAGUUCUUCUCACGCUCCAAGUUGAGUAUGGCAUCGCGAUACAAUGGAGUUUUCAGCUUAACAUCGUUGGGUUCCACGUCAAAGAAAAUAGGCAGGAUCUCUUUAUGCCCGCUGGACUUGGAAGCGUUCUCCAUAAUCUGUGCGAGCUCGCACAGACACCAUUGGCUUGAAGCGUAAGUUCGAGAGAAGAUGGGGAUGUAGAUCCCAGAGUUGUCGAUUGCUCUCGGGAGCGCUCCAUCAAUUCUUUCACCAAUAGGGAGCUCUUCAUCAUCUCGAAAGACACAGAUGCCGGCAUUGGUCAAGCUAUGGUAGAGGAAGUCGGUAAAUCCAUCACGAGUGUCGGGUCCUCUAAAGUUCAGGAACACUUGAUACUCGCUUCCUGACGAUGUUCCUGCCUCUGAGCUCCCCAUUUUAAACUUUAGCUUUAGCAGCUCUCUUCCACCCUCCCUCGUGGGUGAACAAGAUAGGCCUUCGCCCUUGGCUGAUCGAAGGUCUCAACCACAAACAUAUCGCGUAAAUAUAUCAUGAAUGAGAUUACCAAUGAUCAGAGAAAAGCAUAAAAAAUACCAUCGCAGACUAUUAUAUAAUUUUUUUUUUUUGGUAAAGCAGAUUUUUAUAUAAAUUCAGCUACAGAAUAACAAAAAAGAAGCACGUAUGUAAAUUCCCGCAUUAUAUUCAAACUCCCAAUGAUCCAUAUCAUUUGUAAGUCAAAGUUUUGGAAAGGUUGAGAUUAUCCUGCAAUCUUUUCAUAAAUCCACUUGUCUAUUCUUGUUAAGAAGUUGAUCAGGGAGACUUCGGUCCAAUUAUACAGGAAGGAACGCAAAAAAAUACAAAUGGGUAUAUCAGUCCCGACGAUCAGAUCCGUCCUCGAUCGUGGACAACCGCGCUCAUUCAGAGCAAGGUUUUCAUGAAACCGAACUCUUCAAGGCAAAUCCAGAACAAGUCAGAAGAGAAUCGUACCGUGUUCGUGGUCACUGCUGCUGGGAAAGGGCUUCGUGAAGAUGAAUAUCGAUGGCUCCUGGUCCUGGCUAGCCGAUUCGUCGGAGGGGUUCGUUGCCGGAGUCGCUCGGGACGACCGGGGGACGUCGAUCGCUGGGUUUGAGAAGAAGAUCGUGGCCUCCUCUCCCCUGCAAACGGAAAAACUAGCCCUCAAAGAAGUGUUUGUCGGUGGCUGUGCGAGGAAAGGAAGCUCGAAGACUUUUAAGUCUUCCAAGCGAUCUGAGAGUGCCUUCCAGCUGUAUGUACGGUGCAUGGGCCCCCCGGUGUUUCAUUUUAGACAAUUGAAUUUUCUCAAAUUGUUUCUUGUCGUGAACAAAAAGUGUUUGCGGCAAAAUAAUAGUUGCUAAGGAAAAAAAAUGCCUAGGACACGGAAUUGAUCUUAAAGAACUAUUCCUACAGCACCUAACCAAAUCCACCUACGUUAGGAGAAAUAAUAUCAAAUGAGUAAUAAAUUUUAUUGUACAUAUAUUAAUUCAGUAAUAUUUUUUUUUACUAAUAUAACUUUAAACCUUAGUACAAAAAAUUCUAAACAAAGCCUACUGCGAUAUAUUUAUCUUAAAUUUUUUAUGACAUCAAAAAUUCCAAAUUUAUAUUUAUUUCACACAUUAUAUUUAUCCCAAAUUUCUUCUUGUGACACUAAAAAUUUCAAACUUGUAUAUAUGUAAUAGACUUAUCCUAAAAAUAUGGUGUCGCGUAAAAAUUUAGAGUUUUUAAUGCCAGAAAAAAAAGAUUUGAUAUAAAUGUAUCACCCUAUGACACAUAAUUUAGAAAUUAUCUGUAAAAUUUCUAUGCAUAGAGUAGCUUGCUUGAUGUGUCAACCGUUAUCAGGCACAAUACUUCAAUGCGAACCUAAGAAGGACAAUAAUGCACUCGAAAAGGGUAAAAAGAAACACCAAAGAAACACUCCAUGUGCAUACUUUAUGGAAGUGAAGCAAAAGCAAUAGUCGACAAAAAGUUGAAGGGAGGCAUGAAGUUUCUAAAAAAUGCCAAACAACUUUAUAGAAACUGGGUCGAAAGGUGCCCUUGCUUUUCCUAAAAUAAAUACAUAAAAAUAAAAACCAACCUGCCUUUUGAGGCAAGCACAUAAAAUUCUCUAUGGAGGCUUGUUCCAUUUUUCAAUUCUAACCAUUAGAAAGGGCAUCCGGAAAACACAAACAUAAUUCAAGGAGGUGGCUUAUAUUUUGCAUAUAUCUCUGUGCGUGCAUAUGAUUUAGGCAAUGGGAUUAUAUCACGAAUCAUGAAAUUGAUUGGAUACUCUUAAUUACUCAAUACUCAAUAUCAAUAGGAAACAACAUACAACCUAUUUUCUAUAUAUCUCAAAGUGUAUUAAGAAUUUUGAUUCAAGCUUAGCUCCCUACAUUUUCUAGCACAAGUUGAUCUCUUUGAAAGGGAUUAAAAUGAUGACUAUAUAUGUGCAAACACUUUAGAAUCUUCAAAAGAGCGGAAGAAAGAAUAUAGUCAAGAGCGGAAGAAAGAAUAUAGUCAAGGGCUAUAUCUUAAGAAGGAACAAGCUUAGCUCGUGAUUAUUCCCUUUAGUCGAUCUACAUCUCUGAUUGGAGAUAAAAUCUCUCAUUUUCCAUAAGCGUAUUGAAUCGACAUAGAAGGAGAAAAAUAAAUGAAGUGCAGGCUGUGUUGAUGUCAUGACGAUUGUAAGUGGGGGCAGUUCCGCUGUUUUCAAACUCUCAAGCAACCCUCAUCAACGGUUCCACACCCUACGAAUUUCUUUUUUUCUUCAAUUUUUGUCUCCUUUUAUUUAGGUUUUCUCUGAUUUUUUAAAUAAUUUCUUUGGUCUUUCUUCGCCUCAUUAGCACCAAUGUAGAAAGAAAUUACAAAGCGCCACAUCCAAUUUUGGAAUCUAUGUUAGCAAAUUUGGUUAUGAGUCUGUCAUAAAGAUUAAAUUGUACCCAACAAAAAACGUUUAGGACUUGAUUGCACACAUUCAAAAUUUGGGACUUGACUGCAUAUUCGGCCAAACAUUAUGGACUUUUUGGUGUGAUUUUCAUUUAUAAGAACCUAAAAUGAGAAUCAGCAUAGUGGAUAGUAAAUAUUUUUAUAAGAUAAUAACAAAUGAGGGUUACUCAAAUAAAAAUUUAUAGUUUGAUUCCCAUCCUACAUUAAUCUCUCCCACCGAGAAGAGCUCUACUAUUGACUGGUUUUCCCAUGCAUCUCUUGUCUUGAUUUGGCAUGUCCUUCCACAGCUGUCGAAUAAACUUGUAGAUUAGCAGCAAAAAUAGCAUAUUGGUUGUGAGGACAAACUUUCACGCCAACAAGCGCAAGGAGAGGGAAAUCGCGUGGAGUGGGGUCGCUGUUCCAGCCAUGCGUGUGUAAUGAACACGUGAAAGUUCAACUCUAUCUCCUUGUGAAAUCCCCCAUGUAAACGCAAAAAAAAUUGAAAACGCGUGGCACGACUCUAUUAUAUGUUGGCAAAAGCAAAAGGGGAAAGACUCGUGCAUGAUUUUUAUCUCUUUAGUGUUUUUCCACAACUUUUUGUUUGUCAUUUUGACAAUUCAACUCAAUUGUAAGUCAAUGAAGGAUACAUAAAAGAAAAGGAGAGGAAAGAGACACGAAGAGGACAAGAGACUUUUGCAAUGAGGUCGAAACUUUAUGGGGCUUCUGAGUUGAUGGGAUGUUAAGUUGAAAAUGAGAGAAAUUGAGUCGGAAGGUACCUGUGCCUGUCCUAAAGGAUAAAAAUUAAAUUAUCUUUUGAGUCAAGCACAUAAAUUUCUCUGGUGGGUUGUCCCAUUUUUCAACUUCAAUUAUGCAAAAGGCAUCUUGAAAACACAAACAUAAUCGUUGAGAAGUGCCACAGAAGUGAUCUAAGGUAUUUGGACUAUAUCACGACUCAUUGAAUUGGUUGCAUGUACAAAGCAUCAAAUAUUCAAUAAGAAAAAAAAAAACAAAACCUCUUUUUGUAUAUCUCUGUGCGUGCGUAUAAUUUGUUUCAUGUUUAGCUCUCUCCAUUUUUUAGUAUAAGCUAAGCCAACGAAUCAUAAAAUAUUAAUGAAAUAUAUAACUUACAAUUUAAUAUAGCUGAGCCUCACAAUAAAGGAAAUUAAAAUGCCUAGGUUCGACAAACUGAUCAUCCGUUUAAAAAUAGGACUCGCGCGUAAACCAAUUUGGUGGAAAAUUUCUAUGCGAUAUAAUCAGUUAUUUCAGCUCUAAUACCAAAUAAUUCGAGACAAUAAGGAGAAGAAGUGAAUCAGAAGCGGAAAGGGGAUGCCAAGAUCAAAAUUGACAACAAAGAAGAGAAAGAAAUUGAUUUGUGAAAUUGAUUGAUGCUCUCAAAAAAAUCAGAUACUCAAUAUCAAACAACAUAAAACUUUUUUUUAAAUAUAUCUCCAUGUCUGCAUAUAAUUUGGUUCAACUUUAGCUCUAUCCAUUUUUUGGCAUAAGUUGAUUUAUUUGAAAGGGGAUAAAAUGCCGACUAUAUACGUAUAAAUAGUUUAAAAUGAGAGAGAGAGAGAGAGAGAGAGAGAGAGAGAGUAGACAAAAACUACAUCUUUAGGAGGAAUAAGCCUUAGGCCCCGUUUGGUUCGGCAUUUAGAAGGGGCUUUUGGCCUCUAAAGGGGUUUGGGCAAAAGCGGAUGGUGUUUGGUUCAACAUUUUGGGGACUUUGGAGAGAUGCAAUUGCAUCUCCAAGGGGCUUGAAGGGGCUUUAGGGGAAUAGAGGGGGAGAGGUCCAUUGGGAAGUUGCAUUUUCGGAAUGCAACUUCUACUGUUCAUCUUCACCGGAGAGAAGCCGAUUGGAGGCCGACGACCGCCGGCCAAGGGGUCGCGCGCGCCGGCAAUGCGCCGGCGACCGCCAGCCAAGGGGUCCCCCGACCCCGGCGACCGUCGCCGGACCUCAGGCGACGCCUGGGUCGCACGAACCAGGCGGCUGUCGCCUGAAUCGCCCGACCCAGGCGGCCGCCUGAGGUCGCGCGACCCAGGUGGCCAAAUCCGGCCAUUCGGCGGUCCGGCCGCCAAAUCCGACGGUCCGGUGGCCGAACUUCAAAAAAAAAUAAGACAAAUGCUUUUUUGUUUUUUUAAUUUAAUAAAAGUCAUUUACAAAUGUAAAUUUUACCAAACGGUAUUUUGACCAAAGUUGCAUCUCCAUGCAAAUUUUACCAAACGAUAUUUGCAUUUCGGAAAACCCCAUUCACCCAAAGGUAUUUGCAUUUUGGCAAAUGCAUUCCCCAAAAGCCGAACCAAACGGGCCCUUACUCGUGAUUACUCCCUUCAAUCGGUCUACAUCCCUAAUUCGAGGUAAAAUAUUUUAUUUUUCAUAAGCUCUUUGAAUCGACAUAACAUUCUAAAAAAUCAAGCUAUAUGAUUUAAUAUUUUACAGGCUUGUGGCAACUAAAAUGAAUAGGAUGAUGAGGACAAAGAAAAAGAUGUGUAGGCUCUGCUCAUGGACAUUAUAGUGGGGGCAGUUCUGUCGUCUCCAAACCCUCUAACAGCCCUCACCAAUGGUUCCACUCUCUAUGACUUUCAGUUUUAUCUAGUCUUUGUAUUUUUUUCUCCAAUUUUUAAAUUUUUUUAAUUUUCCUAACGUGGGGCCACAUCAGCACGACAUCAGAGCCAUGUAUGUUAAAAGAAACUACAAAAUGCCAAGUCGGAUUUUGGCAUUUAUGUUAGCAAAUUUGACCAUGAGUUUGCCAGCAAGAUUAUAUUGCACUCAAUGAAAACCGUUUAGGAUUUAUUUGCAUAAAUUCAAAAUUUAGGAUUUGAUUGCAUAUUCGAUCAAAUGUUCUGAACUUUUGGUGUUUCACUUACAAAAGCCGAAAACGAGAAUCUAGAAAGAUAAGAAAAUUUCACUUAUAAGUACCAAUUAUUAAGAUAAAAAUUCUAGUUUAAUUCGCAUCUUAUAUUGGUCUCGCCAACUGAGAAAAACUCUGCUAUUGACAAGUUUCCCAAUGCAUCUCUUUUCUUGAUUUGGCUUAUCCUCCCCCAACUUUAGAAUAAUAAACUUGUAGAUUAGCAGCUAAAAUAGCACAUUGGCUGUGAGGACAAAUUUUCACACCGACAAGCGGCUGGCACAAAAUCUAUAUGGUACAAUAUGUGUUCUUGGUUGUAAUGUUCCAUCAGUUAAGCGAGAUUGACAAUUUUCUCAUUGAUUUGACUCACUAACCCUUGCAAAACUUCCGAACCAAAAAAGAAAGAAGAAAAAAACUCUUGCAAAACAUGAACAUGGCGCACCCAUUUCUUUAACUUUUUGUCAUCAUAAGACUCACUAAAACCAUAUUACAGUUGAAAAAACCUUCAACACAAUUUAGUCAGUGCUUUUGGCUCUAAAAUUAAAUAAUGCAGGAUGAAUAUAGUUCUAAUACCAAUUGAUGAAGAACGUAACUAGAAGGAGAAGAAGAAGGAGAAGACGUCAAGAUUGGUAAUGGAUAGAAGAGAAUAGAAAUAUAGGAGAGAACACAAAAAUCAAUAUUAAUUUAAUAUUCAAUCAGUCUCUUGUUUUAAUUGUGAUCACAAAGCUAGCUUUGGAGGAUAUUGGAUAUCAUACAUGUUUCUCGUCCAUGAUUGUCCAUGUUUAAACCUAUUAUGUUGAUAGAUAAGUCUCCCAUAAGCUCAAAUUAGUACAAGACGAUUUAAAAUUGUGCAAGGUUAGCAAGCCGCCGUCAAGACGGACAAUAACACUAGCAUCAGCCGAAUGGGACUGCCUAGUAGUCCAAAUCAAAGUUUUAUCCCCCUCAAAACAAGAUCAAAUUGAAUCGAUCUGAGAGAUGGCACAGUUUUUACACACAUGAUUAAAAUGUAAGAGAUAAAAUGCAAGGGAUAAAAUAAUGCCAAUUUCUUUGGCUGUAAAAGUAAUAAUAGGCCACUUUAGUCAAGCCAUGUCCAAGUAAUAAACACACGAAGCUUUCGCUCAACUCCUCGUGAAAGCCCCACGUAAAUGCAAAGAAAGUGAAAUGGGUGGCUCGAUUCCAUUAUAUGUUGGAAGAAGAAAAAGGGGAGGCACGUUUCUAACAUUAUCUUUCGUGUUUUUCCACAGCCUUUCUUUUUGACAAUUCAACUCAAUUGCGAGCAAGGGAUGAAGUAUACAUAUAAAAUAAGAAAGGAAAGAGACACGAAGAGGGCAGGAGACUCUUGCAAUGGCGUCGAAACUUUUUGAGGCUUCUUAGUUGCAAGGAUGUUAAGCAGUAAAUGAGAGGAAAUUGUGGGGGCAAGUAAACACAAUGAUUUUGUGUUCUCUUUUGUAACCAACCAUGACCUAAGUCCACUCUAUUUGGUUUUCUAUAUUUGCAAGACAAACUUUAAAGUAUUUAAUUGCUGGAAGCUAGAUUUCACUUGAUCUAGUAACAUCUAUUCAUAUAUCCUGACAGAAGAUUCAAAAUAUGACAAGAUAAGAGUUAUAUUUUCCUUCGUGAAUGGAGGAAAUUUUCUCCAGCUAUGCCUCUUAUUAUUAGGUUAUAAGUCAUGGAUAUCCCUCAUAUGGAAACUAAACUAAAUAGGAAUGCAGGUGAUGUCUAUAUUUUUCACUCACCAAUCAGAGGUAUGAUUUCCUCCAACUAUGGACACAUGAAAAACAUGGCUUUAAUAAUAGUGUACAGCAAUUUAUUGCCGUAAUUAUGUAUCUAUCUCCACAUUAUGAAAUGGCAUCAGUCAUACCUACAAUAAUAGAUAGUAUGUGGCCCAUCUCUAUUUUCCGUAAGAGUCAUUAUAUGUGAAUGUUUCACAUCUCUAGCAAUGUUUUUCAAUUUUCUAGUUGAUUCCACUUGUCCUAGAGCCUCAAAAAGGACUUGAGUCAAUUCUUCAGUAUCACUCUUUAAAAAUUAUUCAACAUGAUUGUAUUCUUGCGACUAUUUUAAUGAUGACAAAUAAUUAGAAGGCUAACAAUAUGUACAUUUGGAGUGGCAUGUUGAUGAAACAUCAAAUGUUUUGACAAACCUCAAUAUUGGAGAAGGUAAACAAAUUACAUGACAUUGUAUCGCGGCCAAAGAGUUUUGAAUGUAGAUUUGUAAGGACCUUGGUACAAGUAGUGAAUACACAACGGCACCAAAUAUUGUCAAGUUAUCUGAGCGAAACUAUAGGCAGAAAGUGGACAAUCUACAAGAGAUGAUGGACUUCUAUAACUAGAUUUUGAGUGUCUACAUGCUUGAUGAAAAAACUCAUCUUAAAAAUUUGAUUUGAAUUCAAAUUGGUAAUUUGUAGUAGGAUCAAGGCAACGGAAUAUAAGGAAAAUAGGUAGGUUAGAGAAGAUGGAUUAGAUCUUAAUUUCAAGAAGUGUCCCGGGAAAAAAUGUAAAUUGCAUUGAGAGUGAUAUUAUAUUGAAAGGAAAUACACGGAAUUGGAAAUUGACAUCACUGAAAGGACAUUGCACAGAGAUAAAAGUGCAUGAAAACGAAAAUAGAAGGAAAUUGAAAGCACAAACUCGGUGUGAGUCUUCAUGUUGUUUGUGAGUGUCCAAGAUUAGUCGAGUCCACCUUAUUUUUCUCUAGCUCCCGCACUUCACAUGUUCGGUAACUUCUUAUGUCUUCAUGUUUGAUAAAUUCAUUCAACCUAGUUUGGUCAAAUUCAUACAUGACAUGGUUAAAAUGGACACUCGUUAAUGGUCGCCCAUAGCACCGGAUUGCAACUUAGUCUAAGUGCAAAUAAAGAUAAGAUGAAUUAUGUAUAAACCCAAGUGAUGAACUAGGUUUAGAUAAAAGUAACUAGACCAAAGAUAUGGAACUCUUAUCCAUCAACCAGAAUUUUUGCUUGGUGAGUUACAUGUUAGGCCGUCAUUGACAUGCAAACUUAACAAAAAUUAAAUGUUGGUGAUAUUUAUGUUGGUAACCUAUUAAUCAAAAGACUAACUAGAGAAAAUGUCCUUUUUUGAAGGGAACAUAAAUCAAGUGAAAAAUCUUGAUAAUGAUUAUCACGUUUUGUUAUAGUAAUUAUAUCAUAGACAAACGACUGUAUAUACACUUCUUGGUGAGAAAAUCCUCAAAAUCUCCCGUUAUUCUACAAUCACGCUUGGGUUCGAGUAUGAGCCCGGAAGCUCUUUGCUUAUUGAUGACCAAAAUGUAAACUGGGCCAAUAAUCCUUACCCGGAAGCUCUGGACUUUGUUAGGUUUGAGCCGUUAUUUGGAUUGCACCAAACAUACGUGAUUUCUUCCUUUUUCAGCCCAUGGAGAUCACGUUGAUAUUCAAUUUAGCGUGUUCAAAAUUUGAGACACCAUCCGUAGGUGGAGCGUAUGUCAGACGAAUAGAAGGGACGAUAUAGUUAGAGGCAUCCUACCAAGCAUGGCCUCAUGUCGGGACCUUACUCAGCAGGGUUACACAUGUAUUAAAAUAAAAAUGAGUUUAUUGUUUUCAUACUAAGUGUGGAUAAUAUGCACAUCUUAUUGAUUUCGAGAUUUUUUUUUUUUUUUGGUACUGUGAAAAGAUGUAAAACAUUCGAGGUCGAUUAAUCUAUAAUCGUAAAUCAUGAAGGAGCAAACACCAAGUGGGGUUGGCGAGGGUCAUCAGCUCCUUUGAGCGUUCUGUAUUUACUGCAAUUUGAAGGACCUAAUUGCAAAUAGUGAAUAGAUCAUGGGGCAAGGGCCAGAAAGUGAACAAUCUACCAGACAUAAUGGAUGGCUCUAUUGCAGAAGAGCAUCUAUAGACUUGGUGAGAAGACUCGGCUUCAAAAUAAAAUGAAGUUAAAGCUUUAUAAUCCAUGGAAAGUAGGAUCAAGGCUUUAAAUCCAUUGAAAGCAGGCCAGAGAGAAAUCGAUUGGCUUUUGCCUUUUUCAGGGUAAGUAUGGAAGGCAACGGUGAAUGCCAAAAGCAAAGAAACUAUUUUACUUGGAAUACAGCCAUCGGAAAAAUUUGAAUUUACAAGGUCACUUGGAAUUCAUGACCAAAAAAAAAAAAAAAAUUCUCAACAUGGUUCAAGUAGGACCCAACAAUAAUCCCCAAAAAAAAUUAUUUUUAUCCGGUCCCAUUACUUUGGAAUAAACAUCGCCCUCAUCGAUUCGUCAGUCAUCGGAAUUUGUGACUUGUUUUACUUUUGGGAAAAUUAUCCAAUUAGUUGUAAACUUAUCAUAUAAAUUAUAAUUUAGUCGUAAACUUUUUAAUUUUGUCAAUUAAUGUUAAACUUUUGUUCAAAAUUCCCAUAGUUGUUUCGAUCAAUUUUUGCUGAAAAUUGCCCUAUGUCGGCAAUUUCAAAUGAGGUGUGCACUUCCUUUAUUCAUCAGGGACAAACUUAACCUUAUCACUCAUUGACCUUCAUACACCUCGCUAUCAAAAGAGUUGGCAAUGAUUAAAAGAAAGUUUCUUAUAACAUUAAAAUCCUUCUUAUCCUAAACAUUGUCAAUUCCAACCUUUCAUCCACCUUUUGACUAAUUAGAAGGAGCUUGGAAUUUUAUAUGCUCUUUUUACAUUAAAUUGCCUUCAAAUAAGUAUAUAAGUUCGGAGUUUUUGGUAGUAAACAAAAAUUAAUUUAUAAUAAAUUUGUUAUAAAUAUCAAUUUUGGGGUUUUACGUAAUAUAACUCUUUACCAUUUAGGGUUUUUGUGAUAUGGUGACAAGUGUCACUAUCUCACGGGUGAAAGUAUAAAAGUACGUAUUAUCCUUGUGUGACUAAUGGCAAGCUCACAAUGGUAGGGAUUUGGGUCAAUGAGAAGGUGCCAUGUCGGGUGAGAAUUUCAAGCUAUAGAAAGAAAGGUGUGAUAUGAGGUCGAAUUAGGCCCAGCUCUAUCUGAGCUCUAUCCGACUGGGCCUAAUAAGUCGGCUCCAUCUCGGUUAAAUUGGGUUAACCAAAGUCUUUAUAGUCUUUCAUAAUUAACAAAAUCUUUCAUAAUUAACAAAUUUUUUUGGCUACGUUUGGUCGUCCGGAUUUCUAAUCGGGAUAGGAUUGGAUAGGAUAGGAUAUGAAAUCCUAGGAUUUUUUUAUGUCCUGUCCAAUGUUUGGUGAAUCACAGUAUUAAAGUCGGAUAUGUUCACAUCAUAUACAUUUUUAUUUUUAUUUUUAUAUAAACGACAUAUCAUUAUAAAUGAACAUAAAUGUUCAUAAAUGAAGAUGGUGAAAAUAUCUCGUAACACUAUUCCUUAAUUUAUUUAUUAUUUAUUAUUUAUUAUAUUUUUCCUCUUUUUUAUAUUAUUUUCAUUAUUAUUUCAUUUUUCCCUUUCAUCUUCUUUAAUAAAAAUUUAUCAAAUAGUAAACUAUACUAACAUAUUUAAAAUAAAAAAAUACCUAAAAUAUAUAAUAAAUAUAAAUAUUUAAUUUAUAGAUUGAAUUUUUAUUAUAAAAUAGAAUUAAAAUAAGAUUAAUUAAAAAUAAUUUUUUAUUUUUAUUUUCUUAAAUUAGAAUUCAAAUAUUAUUUAUAUUGAAAUAUAAUUUCAAUUUUGUUAAUUUAAUAAAUUUGUUAUUAAAAAAAAAUAACUUUCCUAUUAUGGACGUUAGAAAUCCUAUCCACCUUUAUCCCACCCCCCAUGGGAUAAUUUUAUCCUGUUUGUAUCCCCCUUAUAUCCGACUUUAUCCUAUCCUGAGUGAGCACCAAACGUAAGAUAGGAUAAAUUAUAUUAUAUCCCGAAUUUUAUCCUGACUGCCAAACGCAGCCUAAUAGUCUUUCAUAAUUAACAAAAUCUUUCAUAAUUAACAAAUUUUUUUGAGAUACCAGUUAGGAAAAUUCAUAUGUCAACACUACUUACAUAUAUUUAGGGAAGUUUCUUGAAAAAAAUCAAAUGUCGUAUAUAUAUCGAGAGAUUAUUUGAUGGGUGUAUUAUAUAUACUAAAUUGUAAUCGAAUCAUCUGUGGUCAUGAGAUCCACGAGGGUUGACGUGAGACGUACCAAAUCUUGCCGUUUCGAUGCAGUUUGAUAUUUGUGACACUCACCCAAUGCCCGCCCCUCCUAGAUAAGAAGGCAAUACAAAAAAAUCUCAGGCUAAAUGACCGACGAAAUUAAGGCGACAAAGAAAAAUGGAUCACAAUUCCUUCUCACUUUUAUGUCCUUUACUCACUUGAUGCCUAGCUUUGCGUUGAAAGAACAUAAUGAUAAGACACCACUUAUCUUAUAAGACACGCCCCACCCCGCCCCCCCACCCCCAAGCUUCAGCUAUGUGUUCAAGGAUUGCUCUAAGGCUGAGUUUAGUUCAAUGGAAAUGAUAAUGGUGUGGAUACAUCUCUUAUGUUUGAUUUUCCCAUUUGAAGGACAUGAAAGGGGUGUAAACGGUUCGGUUCGGUUCGGUUAUUUUGAAAAACCGAACUGAACCGAACCGUUAGAGAAAAUUUCCAAACCGAACCGAAUAAGUCCCGAAACGAUAACGUUCGGUUCGGUUCGGUUCGAUUUUUCGGUUUUCAACUUUUGGUUUUUUUGAGUUCAACUUAGAUGGAAACCGAUAAAAACCAAGAGACACGAAAGGACUAGAGAUGGGAGUCGGGAGAGAACCGAAUUAGAUUUGAUUUUAUCGGUUUUCGGUUCGGUUAACUGAUAAAAACCGAACCGAUAAAUUUUUUUUGGUUUUUGAUGAAAACCAAACCGAAAACCGAACCGAACCGAAAAAAUCAAAUUUUUCGGUUCAGUUCGGUUCGGUUUGCGGUUCAAUUUUCGGUUCGGGUCUUGAUGCCCCUAAUGAAUAUGUUCUUUUAUAACAGUUUGUGCUUAAUUAAUUAAAUGAAUUUAAGAAGAAACUGCAGAUUUUCCUUUUCUUAAAACCGAACAAGACGUCCCUUCGACUGAGCAUUCCCAAAAAAUAUUCCCUUUUUUAGUGACAUUUCCAAAAUUGCCCUAGCAUUGAACUCCAUUUGAACACGAGUCAUCCGUUACCAUCCCAAUCACGCAAAAAGCAUAUUUUUUUUAAUGCAUUUUUGAAGGAAAACAAUGUACCUUUUUUUCAACCUUGUUAAUAUUAACAUACUAUUCAAUUGAAAAAAAAAAUUUGAAAUACUAUAUUUGAAUCUUCGAAACUCGAAAAGGUCAACAAACUUGAGCACAAGAUUUAGGAGAAGCGAAAGGUAAAAAUUAAAGAGUAAAAGUCAUUCCAUACAUAUAGGAACAUGUACGGUGAUUAAACAACAACAUACAAACCCCUACUAUACGUCAACAAAACCAAUUAUAAUGAGGACUGAGACUUUUGAAAAUCUUAUCUGUAGAAGUCUCCAAAAAGACAAUAUCCCUAGAUCCUAGCCCUGAUCAAUCUGAGAAAAAAGAGGUUAAUGAAGGAAUAAGCAAUCACUACCUCAGCAAAUGAACUCUCAAGACUUAGAAUAGGACAUCAAGUGCAUUCUUAAAUGAAACCUUGCGAUUUAACAUAAUAAGCCGUGAACACAAAUAUAAAUGUGACGUGAAAUUGUCUCACUCCAGAUCAAUCACCCAACCAACAUAGAAGCUCAACCAAUCACAUAUCAUAUUAUGAGACUAAAGUCCGUAAGUGUAUUUCAACCCAAUAACUAAGACAUCCCUGACAACAAGGCAUUGCUUUGAGAGAGUUUUUUUUUUAUUUUUUUAUUGAUUUAAAGUAAAAACUUCAUUCAAUUCUCAAGAUGAUGCAUGAGAGGUUCAAAACAAAGCAGAUACAAAAUAGCAAAGUAGAAUAAUAAAGUAAGCACACUUUCAUCCCACAGGAAUAUAUUUGUCUCAGCAUAAAAAAAAAAAUGAAUAGUGGCCAAUCACCAAUCUCACAUCAUCAUAAGUAAUAAGCACAUACUAUAAUCUUCUUCUUCAAUAGCUACAGCUUUCCGGAUAGUUGAUACAUGCUUAGGUUCAAUGUUCUCAAUGCCAUCACCAUAUAGAGACACCAAAAACAGGUUAAACAGGCUCCCAAAUCUAGAUCUAGAUCGGGAGAUGUUGAAGGAGCACAGCAAAGCCUUUAAGGAACUCCCAAAUAUAAAUAUAGAUCAAAAGAGAAGAGCUUUCAAAUCUAGAUCUAAAUUAUUUGAGAGAUGAGAACUUCCAAAACUCGACGGAGUCGUAUAACCACUUUCAAUGAGUAUGAACUCGGCAUAUUUCUCUUCAAUCCCAUUGUACUUCUUGGUUUGGACGAUCUAUUGCCUAACGAUGGAAGCUGAAGAUACGCCCAGCGAACAAAGAAUUGUAUCAACAGUGAGCAAAAGAAAAAACAAAAAAACUUAUUUACAAUAGGCUAUUUCUAAACUAAACUUAUUUGUUGAUGUGACUUCAAUCACUACUUGUUUAUGGUGUUGGUAAGAAAGUUGAAUAAAAGUUGGAAAUAAUAAGAGAAUUAUUUUUGUUAGCAAUUAGAGAAAUUGGUAACUUUUAUAAAAAAAAUAUAUAUGUGUGGGUAACUAACUCAAAUAAAGAGUUAAUAACACAAAGUUCGUCGGUAAUGCAAUCAUAGAAAGAAGGUUGGCAAGGCAAAUAAAGGAUGGUAAUUCAAUAGAAAAAAGAUGAAUGCUUUAGCAUGACAAAAACUUUUCCCGUUGGCCUACCAACGAUAGGGGCAUUUCUCUGCACAGAAAAAUUAUGUGCUAUAUAUCUAAAUUACCCGCAUAGAAAGCAUGAUCUACUGUCAGUUGAAGCAUCCGUUAAUAUAGAACAAUCAUGUGCUACAUGUCCAAUUUUCCUACAUAGAAAGUAUGCCCUCAUACAGACAAGUGUUCUAUUCCCACAGGUGUCAUAAGAGCCCUGAUUAUUUUGAUUUAUGGACUUUCUUGGCAAAAUUAUUAGUCCCGUUUGGUUCGGCAUUUGGAAGGAGCUUUUGGGCCCUAAAGGGAUUUGGCCAAAUACAAACGUGUUUGGUUCAAUUUUUAGGACAAUGUUGGCAAGAUGCAAUUGUAUCUCCAAAUGACUCUAAGAACCUUUUAGCUCAAAGCAGCUUUGGAGAUACUUUGGAAAGUUGCAUUCACGGAAUGCAAGUUCCACGAGUACUGUUCAUCUUCUUCAAAGAAACAAACGGAGGCCGACGAUCGCUAGCCAAUGAGUUGCCCAUGCCGAUGACCACUACUUGAGGCGUCGCCUAACCCCGGCAAUCACUACAUGAGGCGUUGCCUAACCCCAGGGAUUGCGGCCACCCAGUGACCGCCGUCUAAGGUUGUGUGAUCUUAGGUGAGGCGGCCUGAGGUCCGACACAUAGGGUUCGUGACCCAGGCGAUUGUCGCUUGGGUUCAUGCGACCUAGGCAACCGAACCCAUGCGAUAGUCGCUAGACCUCAAGCAACUCCUGGGGUUCGCGACCCAAGCGAUCAUCGCUUGAGUCACGCAUCCUAGACAGCCGCUUAGGUCACAACCCCAGGCGUCGCCUGAGGUCAUGUGACCUUAGGUGAGGUUGGCCGCUUGAGAUCACAUGACCUUAGGUGAGGCUAUUUGGCAACCAGAUCUGGCCGCUGGUGGCUAUAUUAAAAAAAAAUUAAAACUUUUUUUAAUGAAAAAUUUAGCAAGAGUCAUUUGCAAAAUGUAUUAAGCCAAAGUUGUUUCAUAAUGUACCUUAAAAUUGCAAUUUACCCAACGUUAUUUGUAUUCUAAAAAUCCCUUUAGCGCACAAGUAUUUGCAUUUUCCCAAUGACAUUUGCCUAAAGCUGAACCAAACGAGGCCAUCACCUCUUCGUUUAUUACCACUUUGAGCUUUGAGUAAGCUUUCCAUUGGCCUGUCGAAAUUGUUUUAUUUACGAAUAAACUUGGUUUAAUCAAAUCUUGCUUAGGUUUCUACUUGAUUUUAAUAUAUGUUUUUACUUAAUGAUAGGAUUUUCAUUUUUUCUACUCAACGCAAUUUUUCUUGUUUGGUUUUCCAAUGUCAGAUCUAGCAAGAGAGGCCUCGUUGGUGUUCACCUCACCUAGGUGCGACCUAACGAGGCCAACUCUCACCUGGGAGAGGCCAUCCCUCAUCAACCAUGGCCUGAGUCACCAGAAAUUGCAAAGAGAACAUGGAAAGAUAAAAAAAGAAGAAAAUUAUUAAAAAUUUAUUUAAAAAAAUCUACAUUAGCGUCAGUUGUGCUAUAUAAUACGAAUGAUGUCAAUGUCAGUAAUUUCCAACCUAAAUUUGUCAAAUGAACAUAAUUUGGACCAAUGUGAAAAAAUUAAGUAUUAAAUUAGCUCAAUUGAAAAGUUAAUGACUAAAUUGAUAGCAAUGACAUAGGUGAGGACUUUUUUUGGCACUUUUUUUCUUAAAUAGCAUAUUAUAAUACAACAACUAGAAUAACUAUCAACGGUUACAUACCAACAGCCAUGCCCAACAGCUGAGUUCGUGUUGUCUAGACUAGGCCUGAGCGGUCAUAGUCCGCUGUCCUCACCGAUAUACUCGGUGGAGAUUGAUAUCACCGGAAUUUUUCUUUACCAAGGUUGUCAAAUAUUUGGCUUGUUUAAAUGGACGAAUACCAUUAAAGACAACUUUUUAAAAAAAAAUUUCACCGAUGCCUAUGCCUAAUGAGUGACUUGUUGGCUUUGGUUCGUCUCUGUUAAUCGGUGGUGUCAUUUGCUGUGGUUUUUCCUAUGUUCUUUUGGUCUCUUGGGUUCGGCUUUUUUUUAUAGCUAGGAAUUGGAGUGAUUCAGGUUUUUUGACUCAUGAAUGAACUCGACAUCCUCAAAAUGUAUUUGCUGAUUGUCAAUUGUGAUGUGAACGGGUAUGUUCUGACUUGCUUUCCAUUGAUUUCUGCAUUUUUUUUUCGCCUUGGUUUCUUUUCUUUUCCUUGCUUUGCAAGUUUUAACCUCUGUUAGUUUCCUAAUAAAGCCCAAUUUCCCACUUGAAUUAUGAGGUUUUACCCUGCUUUUUCUUCAUUCCAAUUCGUGCAGUCCACAUUAUUUGAGUUUCAAUUAUCGUUCAUGUUAUGUCUUGGUCACAUUUUAAUGUCCUAAGAAUUUGUUUUGAGUGAGGAUUUGAACCUUGUUGACAUCCAAAUGUCUACAUUUUAAAUAUCCAUUUAUAUAUAUAUAUAUAUAAAGAUGAGUAAAAUAGGUGAUAUAAAAUGAAUAAAAAGUAUUAAAAAAAGAAAAAAAGAGUCGAGUGGGCCGGCGAAGUUAAGCCCAUUCUUUUUUAUGCUUUCGCAGCCCAUUCCUUUAUUUCUUCUUCAGCCCAUCCAUUUUUUGUUUAUUCUUUGAGCCCAUCUGAAACAAUUAAGAAAAGAGGCCCAGCCCCACAUGCUCUCUCUCUCUCUUUUCCCUUCGCACGACCGACAUGCGGGUGACAGAAGGAGACGAACUCAGCAAAGGAAGCGGCCAUGAGCGGGACCUCCACCUGAUCACCAUCUCCGUCUCGACUUCCAGAGCUUCUUUCCUUCUUCUCGGACGUUCUCUCGUCGCCUACUCAGCUGCGACGGCGCCCUCGAAGUUCCGAUUUCUCCUUGUCGUGUAGAGUCUCCCUUCUUUCUAUCGGCGCGUGGCGACGUCGCUGAUCGUAGUUGUCCGGCGGCGAGAGCGAGCUUGAGAGUUCGAGGAGUGCGAGAUGUUGUCGAUCCUGUGACGAAAAGCCGCCGCCAGAGUCACGGGUGCUAUGCUGUUAAGGAAGAUACCGGAGAGAAGAGGGAGGACUCGCGUUUUUGAGGAGAGGACGUUCGGCCGUAGAGGGAGGUCGGGAGGAGAGAAGGUUUUUGGCUGGAGGAGAAACGCCGGCCGAAGGUCUCUUCAGAGUCGUCUGAAGCUUCACCGGAGGCCAGCUCGCCGUCCACCGUCCGCCAUAACCGAUUCUCGAUCCAGGCGAGUGCCUUCCUCCUUUGUAUGUGACGUGUUCCUACCAUAUUGGAACUCGAACCGUGCACGAUGAAGUCGCGGGGAAUUUCGUGUAGAAUGACACUGAUUUGUUGCUUGAUGAUCUCAUCCGAAUGCCUGUAUGCCGCAUUUAGACCGAAAAUCAGACGAUAAUCGGAUCAGAAGCUUGUUCUUGAUACUGCCCAUUACCUGUUUGAUGAAAUGUCUAAGAGAAAACCGAAGAGCAAUUUAUGUUUAAACUCAAGAUUGAUCCAUGUUUGAAUCUACACUUAUUGAACAAUGUCUGAUAUUCGUAUUUUCUUUGCAUUUUUCAUGCGAGUUGGUGAAAAAAUUCCUGUCCGAGUUGGUCGUUCAUGGAUCUUCCCCUCGCCGGAGCUUCACCUCCCUUCGCCGGCGAGCCCUACGGUUCAAGGCCGUCCGAGUCAGUUUUUCUCUUCAUUCUAAAUGUAUUCAUGCUUGGUUGAUUGUUGGAUUGCUGGUUUUAGAAAUUCCGGAUCGAUAGGUUUUUAUUUCGUUAGAUUUUGUGUUUGCCCGGCGGGAGACGACGGACGCCGGCAGGAGUAGGCGGCAGGUGGUGGCCCGGUGGCGGCAAUCACGUGGCAAGGGCGGAUCACUGUGGCGUUGAGAGCUGGCAGUCCCAGUUCGGUAAGUUGCAGGGAAGAAGACGUUCGGUGAAGAAGACGUCCUGAGGUUGAAGAUGAUGCGAGGUGAAGGAGAUGGGCAGAAAAGACAAAACAGAGAAAAAGACCAAAAAAAAAAAAAGAAGAAUAAAAACCCCUUAAAAAAUUCAAAAAAACAUAAAAAUAUUAAAAAUAAUUCGCUUUGAUCCGACCAGGUCGGAUCCGAGUAGACGGGUCGGGUCAAUGUGCCGGAUCGGGUGAAUUCGGUCCGAACCCGUUCCCCAAAUAUAAUAAUAAUAAAAUGGACAUUAAAAAUUAAAAAAAUGGAAAAAAUUAAAAAUUGAGAAAAUGAUAAAAAUUAAGGAAAUAAAAAAUUUAGAAAAUUUGGAAAAACAUUAAAAAGUUUGUUAAAAUCAGAAAAUUCAUAAAAUUUAGAAAAUUGAAAAAUAAUAAAAAAUUAGAAUUCAGAAAAUCAUUAAAAAAUAGAAAAUCCAGAAAAUAACAAAAAUUAGAAAAAGCAUUAAAAAUUCAUAAAAUUAUUAAAAAAAGAAAAUUUUAGAAAAGUUGGAAAACCCUUUAAAAUGUUAAAACCUAAAAUUGGAUAAGCCUUUAGGGAUUUUUUUUUUUUUUUUUGUGUUUUAGAUUGUCUUUUCUUUUUAGAGACAAUUUAAGGAUGCUUGCAUACUUCCUAUUAUGAUUAUAAUUGACUGCGCUUUUCAAUAUUUGGAUUUUAAUUCCUUGUUUUAGUAUGGUUAGGACAAAUUUCGACUUUUUUUAGAUAGGUUGCUAUGGUGUUAAUUAGCACAUGACCGAAUUAGAUACCAAAAUGGCGUUAGUCUUAGGGCUAACAUAAUCAAGUCCUUGAGUCUUGAAUCUCUGAUUGCGUAAAUAUUAAUAUUCUCCCAUAUCUUACUGCUUUCUAGCCUACCCAAAAAGGUUAGUGGCGACUUAUUUAUUAAAAUUUUCAUAGGCUUAAUUGAUGAAAAUCUUGAACGCCUAUUGCGCAAGAUAUGGGCUUGGGAGAGUCCAAGUCAAUGGAUGGCCGUCGGCCCGAGGUCAACAAUACCCUUAAACCUAAUAGGCUCCCUUCCCAUGAGAGAGUUAGGUCGCGACAGCUCGGCAACUCUACUGGGGAUCAAACCUAGAAUCUCUAGUUGCUUAAAUACUAAUAUUAUCCCGUAUCUUAUUGGGUUUCUAGCUUACCCAAAAAGACUAGCGGCGACUUCUUUAUUAAAAUUUUCAUAGGCUUGACUAAAUUUUGAACAUCUGAUUUUGCGUGAGAUAUGAGUAGGGUGAGCAGUUUCAGCUUCCGUAUAGGUUCUACUUGGACCUACUCGUUGGAACAGGUUUCUCAUUUUUUGGAACCUACAACCUACCCUCAAUAUCCUAGAAUUUAGAACCUAUCUUAUCACAGGUUCCGAUGGUCUAGUCAAGUUUCAUUUAUAUUAUUAAUUGAACGAUUGCAGUGAAUUAAGACCUUUAAUGACUGUACUCCCUACUACAAUUCAUUGAUCAUAAAGACAUACUAAAAGUAUAAAUAUUGAUAAAGUAAAAGUCAGUCAUAAAAUGGAACUUUAGACUAAUAUUUCUAGAUUAUACACUAAUCAUCAAACGACAUGGAAUAUUACAAGAAUGAGUGAAGACAUGAACAAAAAAAAAAUUGUUACAAGUUUAAGGUUCUAAGUUUUUUCAACUAAGAACCUGAAACCUAUUAGCUGAAACAAGUUUCUCAUUUUUUGAAACCUAGAGUCUACUCUGCAAACCUUGGAAUCACCCCUAGAUAUGGGCUUGGGAGAGUCCUAGUUAAUGGAUGGCUGUUAGCUCGAAGUUGGCAAUACUCCUAAACUUGAUAAGGUCCCUCCUUGAAAGAGGGGUUAGUUUGUGACAAACUUUUAAGAGCUUUUUCUUUACAAUUUUGUGUUGGGUUUGUUGACACCCAAAAUUUUCGUCGACAUUUUAAUCAUCCAUUUUGCAAGAAUAUAAAAAAAAUAAAGAGUCAAUAAAUAAAAAAAUAAAAAAAAUAAUGAAAAUAUAAAAAAAAUAGAGAGAGAAAAAAAAAGAGAAGUAAAAGAAUCAAUAAAAGAAAAAAAAGAGAAAAAGAAAAGAAGAAAAAAAGAAGAAAAGAAAGAAAGAAAAGAAAAGAAAAAAAUGAAAGAAAAUGAAAGAAAAAAUAAGAAAUAAAGAAAACCAAAAAGGAGAGAAAAAAAGAAAAAUAAAAAAAUAUAAAAGGAAGGGACGCUCUCUCUCUCCAUGGACGCUCUGGCUCUCCACACUUCGCACAGAGUCUCUCUCUCCUCACACGGGCUCUCUCUCUCUCUCUCUCUCUCUCUCUCUGCGUUCGUAUUUUCUGUGGAGUCAUCAAUGGAGUUCGAGGCAGUUGCAGCAGAACCCUAGCCUUCCCACGACGUCAAUAGCGGCAUCUUUCUUGCGCUUCUCCUCGGAUCAUCUUCAUGCCAUCUUUUGAGCUCAUGGACUAGCGAUCUUCCUCUCGCGGACCUCGUCUUCUCUCGGCCGACUCAGCGCUCGAAGCUCAUUUCGAAGACGCGGCCGCUAGGACUCAGAUCUCGGAUCCCUAGCCUCGAACGAUCCCCGUAGACAUCCGUGAUUCCUCAGGGGAAAAUCUCGACUUCGCUCGCGGUCCAUCGAAGGGAGUUUCCGCAUCCGUCUCCAGUACUUCUCCGUUGAGCUCAAGUCGAAGGCGAGGGUUUUUCUCUCGUUAGCGAGGAUCAGAAAUUGAAGACCGGCGGUUGGGGAUUGCGAGGGGAGUUCCGUUUCGCUCUUUCUCUAGCGAUUCUCACUCAGCGGAUCCCUCUCUUUGUCGGAGAUCAGACGUGAGCUCUUUUUCCAUCCUCCUCGAUCUGUUAGGGUUUUCGAUUUCUGUUCUCUAUUUGCAUCCAUUUGGGUCGUGGAUUCUGAUCUCUCUCUAUCCCUCCUUCGGACGCUCACUCGCUUAAUCAAUCCGACGCCUUCGUCGCGGAUCACGCCCUUCCGGAGCUCGAGAUACAGGUAAUCAGGUUUUUCUCUUAUCUCUCUCUCGAUCGCUCUGUCUCACGCAUGGUUCGUUACUCUCUCCCUGGUUUGAUCGCUGUCUUUUUUCUUCUCGAUCACUCUUUCUCUAUCGAUUUUGUACUUGUAUCUGUUUUUUUAGUUCCGAGGUUGUGUGUUUUCAUUAGCCUCUUCUGCCAAGUCACCUUAGCUUGUGUGUCGUUCAUGCUAAUUGCUAUGUUUGUGAUGUUCUGUUGAUGCCAUUUACUCCAUAACCUGGAAAUGUUCUCCACCUGUUUGAUAAAAUUCCUGAAUUAGACCAGUGUGUGUUUUGAUUCAGAAUAUGAUUGAGAGCUUCCCUUUGCUUGAUCGAUACACUAGUUUUGUUGUAUAGACUUUACUUGUAUUUCGUUUCCUUUCAUUUCAGAACUUAGUAACUAGCCGUUUUAGGAUUUGUUAUUGAAAUUCUUGGGUUAGAUACAUAUCUAGUGCAAAGCAAGCUGAGCAAACAGGACAUGUACAAGAAGAAAAUUGAUUGGUUUUAAUAAAAUUGGUCCCCUGCUGUUGCUGUGUUUUUUUUUUUUUUUUUUUUUUUAGAAUUCCUUGUUCUUAAUAUGGAAUGUGUUCUUUGCUAGAAAGCUGUGAGUUCAUUGGUACACUUCAAUCUGGAUUGCUUUCUAUAUUUUGCCCCUUGAUGAGCUUGUAGUUGUCAGUAAACCAAUAUGGUUGUGCGGCCAUUGGAAGAGUUUUUUUUUUUAUGCUCCUUUCUAGAAACUGCUGUCUUCUAUCGGUUGGGAAUAGCUGUUUGAAACAUGAUAGGCAAGCUACAAUUUUUUAUUUGGUUGUGUGUAUACCCAAUCGUGAUUUGUUCAUUUCUUUUUGUGCCUCUUUCGAUUUGAUUUGUGUAAAUGAGGUGUAUAUGUAAUGCAUGAAUGUUAUAUAGUCUCAAUGUAAGACAUGAAGAAUCAGCAUAAUUUGUAUCACUGUGCUUGCUGCCAUCUAUGAUUGUCUAGCUUGCCACGAAUAUACAUGUUACAUUGUGGUCACCUUGUUGUGUUUGUACCAAUGUGUGAUGAGCUGUGUUGAGAAUUGCGUCAAUUCUUUGUGUGUUUGCUGUUUUGACGUACUGCAACUUUCUGUUUUGGUUGAAACGAGGUGUUAGAUAAGUUUUUUUGACUUCGAGCCCUUCUAGACAUAUAACAUACAUUUCUAGAGCUUCGUUUUGAUAUGUCGCACGCCCUGAAUAGACAUCAUCCGGUCAUCGAAAAAUACCGACAAAGUCUGUCAAUUCUGCAGUAGUUUUUUUAGGUUGAUUUGCUGUUUUGACCUACUGCAAUUUUCUGUUUUAACCGGAACGAGCUGGAAGAUGUUGUUAUUAGGACUUAAUGUCUUCUAGAGAUUUGUAAUAGGCUUCUCAAACUUUCCAUUGACAUAUUAUAUGUGCGAUUUGGUCAUCAUUUGCCCUGCCUUUCCUUUUUUCAAAUCGAGCUUUGAAAUCUGGAAUUUGUCUUGAACUGCAAUGCUGUCUUUUCUGUGGCUAGUUGCUGUUAAUCUUAAAAUAAGAUAGUAGAUUUGUCCAAAUUGCCUUCAAUAUGUUGUAAAAUGACGGUGUGACAUGCUACUAUGAUCUAUUUUUGAUUGAUUUGUUCAUGUUCUUAAUAUUUUUAGAAAUUCAUGCGUUAGGAAUCUUGAGGUGCUUCCUUCAUGGAAUGACAUCCUUUAUCAAUUGUCUACAAAACGGUUUUAGGUAUCAUGUGGGUUACACAUUGAUUGCUCCGCUUGCCUUAAAUACAUAUGUUGAGUGAAUUCAAUGGUGCGUGUUUUGGAAUAAGUGAUCUUUAGUUGGUUCAUUCAUUGUUUUGAGUUGAUUGAGGACCAAGGUUAUAUGGCUUGAAUGUUUGUCAUGUUAUAUGCUUUGUGUGUGAUCGUUAUAUGGAUGAUUUAGGUGUAAUACAUAAUGAUGCUAAAUCUUGGGAUUUCACUUAGAAUUUGAUCUAGAAGACUUUGUGACUUUAGUCACUCUUUGUGAACAUAAAAGAAUGUCUUGCUUUUGAUUGUUUCGAUACGUGAUGAUUGUUUUUUUCAUUUGUAUGCAUCUAAUCAUCCAGAUUUUCUAUAUUAGGUUUAGAAUAGGAUCCAAAAAGUGGAGAAGAAGUGAAGAUGGUGGAGGUCGAUGUCCACUCCGACCGUUAUUCUGUAAUAUUCGUUUUUCUCCCGACAUAUGUCUCGGGUUCCUUGUGUUGUAUAAAACUCGACGAGUUGCGGGUUUUCUCUUUUUCCCUUUUUUUUUUCUUAAUUGUGUUUUCUCUUUUAUAUUUUUAGAAUUGCAUGAUUAGGUUUAUUGCUUUCUCUUGAUUGUUUACUUCAUGUCUUGCACUUUCAAUUUCAUUGAUUGUUUUCUUUUCAUUUUUUUAGAAAUAAAAUAGCAUGAAAAUGAUCAACCACGCAUGAUCACUUAGCCUAGGAAUUGAUGAUCCCGAAAAUGUAAAAAGAAACGCAUGGAUAUAUUAGGAAAAACACAACAUACUGUUUAGGUACCGAAAGGGCGCUAAUAGCAAUAUUAGCGUAAUCCAAGUCCCCGAACCUAGAUAUCUGGUUACGUAGGAAUCGAUGGAGCACUCCCGACUCUCGAUUGGGUUUCUAGUCGACCCCCGAAAAUGAGGCUAGUGGCGACUCCUGUAUAUUUUUAGGUUGUUAUAAAUACCUAGAUUAUAUAAAUAAAUCCGCUGUCACGCGGGGUACGAGCUUGGGAGAGCUUGUGAUCUUGAGAUCAAGUACCCCUAAACCCGACCUUUCCCCAUCUUGGAUACUUUUCGAGGGGGCGGCGAGAUCGGGUCGCGACAGGCUUGUGCUUGGAGGAGUCUACGUUUGUUUAUUCAUGGCUUUGCCUUUCUUAUUGUGGCAAUUUUCUGUUAUGUUCGUGCAGGUAAUGAAGAUAAUAAAUAAUUAGAUUAAAAUUUUAAUGAAGUUGCCGAUCGCUUAGUAAGAAUUGUUAUUACUUUUUGUCUAGGUGAUUUAUAUCCAUGGGAAACACAAGACGUAUGAUCACAUUUGUGGGUUCACGCAUGGUGCAAAUAAGUUGUGAGUUAGAAGAGAAGCUCGAAAAAGUACACAAUGGUGACAAGUUAUGUUAUAAUUCAAAGGUUGAACUGAUCAGCCUCAAGAAGAGAAAUGUGAAUGCAUCAGGUAAGACUUACCUACAUAUAUAUUGUACAAUUUUUCAUCAUACUAUACUGAGAUGGUCCGAGUAUUGAUAUGGUUUGAUAAUAUUAGAUCCUUCUUUUGAUAUUUAGAAUUUCUUGUCUAGUAGCUGCCUCUAGAAAAAAGGAAGCACAACUUUAUGUGUCUAUAGGGCAUAUGGAAUCUUUCUCCUGAGAAAUGCAUCACUUCAAGUUAGGGAAGAAAAUGCAGCCUAUUGGAGGUUUAAGGAGUUUCUUGGAACCAUUGCUAGCGUGUUGGCACUAUUGUUCACAACUUUGAAGCAAACUACCAAGGAUAUGAGGAUGCCAUGAUUAGGAUCGUAGAGGUAGUUAGCUUGUACUUGUAUGAAAUUUUAUUCAUGUCAUAAAUAAAUUUAUCAUCAUUAUUAAUAUUUCUUUGUUGUUGUCUAAGUUUGAUUAUCUUCAUACCAACCAUGGAAAAAUGGAUUCUACAUUCCUUAAUACUGGAAAAGUGAUCUAAAAACUGCUCAAUAUGAUAGCUUUCGAUCAUUCUCAUAUCAUUUGAAGAAUCUGUCAGAAAGAGUGAGGAGAGAUCAAUGCAAAAAUCUAGUGACUUUUUGGAGUUCAUGGGACACAUUGUUUUAAUAUAUGACCUGUCAACUUAAAUAGACUCUCAUUACCUCUUACUGACUAUUUUCUGAUAACCUUGUUUUUUUAAUUGGAGAAGCUGAGUGAAACAAAUAAGGUAAUGGAGCAAAACAAAAAAAUAUGACACACCUUAGGAAACAAAAUUUUUGCUAGAAUAAAAAUAGAAAAGGUAAGUAUUCUCAUGUUUCCCCUUAGAUUUUUGUGUUUCCCUGUAAGUGAUAUUUCCAUUGUGUAAUCAAUAAUUUCUCUUUAGAAAAGAUUCUGCUGAGGUGAUAUCUUUGGACUUAAGGUAAAGAUGUCUAGAGAUAUUUGCCACUUUUCCGACACUACGUGUGUUUAGAUAGCAGUUGUCAUAGGAAGAAAAGAUAGGAUGUGUUCUAGAAAUGCCUCCUUAAGAUUGUCUACGUUCUUAGCACGUGCAUCGAUUUCUUGUUAUUAUUCCCUUAGCUCUAUGAUUUGGAUUUGCUAGUGACAGCACAAUAAUCCACAACUUGGUUCAGGUUUAUCUAGAACACAAUGUCCAAAAUCAUUAACAAAAGAGCUAUGCAGCAGCUAGAGCUAUAAAGUAAAUUAUAAAUGAUGAAACCUGUACAAUUUUCUAUUAAUUUGCUAACGUGACUGCAGUUUGGUUUAAUGAGAGAGAUCAAAAAAUAGAAAAGUACUGUAGCCCUAAAAUACCCAAUUGCUAGCUGUGCCAUUUCACAUGCAUGCACACAUCCCCUUAAUUGUUGAAAAGCCAUUCAAUAUAGUUCAUCUAGUGUCAACAAAUGUUAUUCAGUCUUGGCAAUGACAAUAUUGCUGCUGUAAUGUUAAUCCGGGAGUGUUUAGCUUAGAGAAAAAGGACCAUAGGCGAGCCGACGAAAAUCCCAUUUCGUUUUAUUGAGACGGAUCGAAAAUUCAGGAUGUCACAAUAGGGGUAUUCCUUUGCAUGGAACAAUUGUGUGCUAUAUAUCUAAGUUGCCCGUAUAUAAAAAGGAUGAUCUACUAUCAUUUGGAGCAUCCUCAAUAUAGAACAAUCUUGUACGACACGUCUCAUUUUCCCACAUAGAAAGUAUGCCCUUAUGUUCCAGUAAUACCAACAAGUGUUAUGUUUUCCACAAGUGUUGGCCCUGAUUAUUUUGAUUUCUAGACUUCCUUGGCCUAUUAUUGGGUAGAAGUACAGUAUAAAUGUAAAAUUUUGGUAUGUAGAGACAUUUAAGUAUCAAAAGUUACACAAGGUACACAUAAGUGUCACUUUUUUUUGAAAAAUUGGACAUUUAGGGGGUGUUUGUUUGUAUUUUUUUUUGUUUAUGAACAAAAAUCCUUUUUUUUGUUUGUUCCAGAGAAUAAAAAAAGAACAAAAAUGUGUUUGUUUGCGUUUUUGUUCCAAAUCUAUUUUUUUUUGUUCCCGGGAACAAAUUUGAAACAGAAACAAGAAACAAAAAAACUUGUUUCUUGUUUCUGAAACACUUUUAAGAAACAAAUUUUCUCUCUCUUCUAUUUUUCUUCUCUUUCUUUCUUCUUCUUUUCUUUUUCUUUUUUUUUUGGCCGGUCACCGGCCUCGGCCAUGGCCGACGACCUUGCUAGAGCGUCGCCGGCCCCUAGCGAGGCUCGGCCUUGCCAGAUCCAAGAGAGCCUGAGCUCGCCCAGCCAAGGCGAGGCCGAGCCUUGCGCUGGCUAACGACACUCCGCCUUGCCUUGGUUAGGUGAGCUCGAGCUCGCCCAGAUCUGGUGCCGCCUGGAGGUGGCCCAGCGAGGCUCAGCCUCACCAAAUUUGAGCGAGCUCGAGCUCGCCCAGCCAAGGCAAGGCCAAGCCUCGCGUCAACCGGCGACGCUCGGCCUCGCCUUGGCUGGGCAAGCUCAAGCUCACCUAGAUCCGGCGAGCCUCGCCAUGGCUAGGCGAGGCCGCCAGCCCUCAUCGGCCGGUCACCGGCCAUGGCCGAGGUCGGCGACCAACUACAAGGAAGAAAUAAAGAAAAAUUAAAAAAAAUUAAAAAAUUAAAAGAAACAAAAAAAGAACACAAAUUUACCAAACAUGUUUUUGUUCUUUUUAUUUAUUUAUUCCUGGAACAAGUUUACCAAUUACGUUCUUCUGGUAAAAAAUUAUUCCCUAGAAUAGAAAUAGUUUUUUCUAUUUAUGUUUCCUAGAACAAUUUUUGAACAUAAAUGUUAUCACACGCACCUAUAAGUGCCAAUUCCGAUUAAAGAUGCUAGAAAUCCCAUAUAACAUAUUUUUUUAAUAAUAUAACUUGCCUACAUGGCUCACUGGACAGCUAAGUUAGCAAAGUAGAGCCAAAACAAUGUCAUUUUGCCCCUUAUUUGAAUUUUAAUAUGAAUAUUAAUUAAAUUAAAUUUAAAACUAAAUUUAAUAAAUAAAUAUUACAAAAAAAAACAUGGGUUUGCAACUCAGCCCUCACUGCCGCCUCCCCAUCAUUGCUGGGAAGGGCCGGCAAUGGUGGGAGGAGCGUUGCUUAGGGUCGUCGAGCCUUGGUUAGGGGAUGUAACCAGUGGCGACCCUGGCCAACUAGCAUCGAGGGCCUACAAGCCCUCACCCAAAUCUGGGGCAAGGGUCCCAACCUUCCCUCAGAUGCAGCAAAGGUCGCUAGCCCUCGCCUAGUCAAGCCAAAGGCCACCACUGGUUGGGUCACCUAACUAAGGCCUAGUGACCCUAAUCGACCCUCCCUUCACCAUCGCUAGCCCUUCUCAGCAAUGGUGAGAGGCUGCACCCUCGUUGUUCUACAAACCCAUCUUCCCCUUUUUUUUUAUAUUUAUUUAUUAUUUAUCAAAUUUAGUUUUAAAUUUAAUUUAAUAAUAUUUAUAUUAAAAUUCAAAUCCCAAGCAAAAGAACAUCGUUUUUGGCUUUUCUUUCCACGUUAGAGUGCAAAACGACAUCGUUAUACACUGAUCUCAUUGGAAAAAUGUUACGUUAAUAUUUUGACUGUAUUUUCUUGUCACUGGUACUUAGCUAAUCCAUUUUACUCCUAUUUUGGCACUUAUGUGUACCUUUCGAAACUUUUGGCACUCAAAUGUUUCCUCGUGUCAAAUUUUCGCACUCCAAGUGUCUGCGUCCCCUUAUUAUUGCCUCUCUAGUUAUUCCUGCUUUGAGUAAAAUUCCCAUUGGCAUGUUAGAGUAGUUUUAUUUAUGAAUAAACUUAGUUUAAUCGAAUCUUGUUUUGGAUAGUUAUCUACUUGCUUUUGAUAUAAAUUUCUUACCCAAUAUAUAAGAUUUUGAUUUUUUCUGCUCAAAGUAGUUUUCAUUGUUUGGUUUCCCAAUGUCAAGUGAGUGAUGCUUAUCUCUUCUUAGAUUUGGAAACCCAUGUAUUGAAACAAUUAAAAAGGAAAAGUGGUGUUUCAAGCAUAUUUGUUGCAUAAAGCUAGAUCAAGUAAUUACUAUCCGUUUGUUCAUUAGAUAUUGCAUAGUAAACCAUUUCUUAAAAUAGUUUGUGAGUUAAUUAUUUGUUAUAAGGUUUGGGAAAUGCUAUGUAAAAAGUAUUGUGCUUGAUGGAUUAAAUUAUGAAAGGCUAUAUGAUUUGUGAAUCCAAUUCAUGAAAUGGAUUCAGAAUUGGUUUUGUAGAUGGUUGGAUAAUGAGUCAGUUGUUUAUCAUAAUCACUAUGAUCUAAACCUUUACAGGGUUGAACAUAUGCAUAUUGUUCUUAAGAAUUGGUUUUGUAGAUGGUUGGAUAAUGAGUUAGUUGUUUAUCAUAAUCACUAUGAUCUAAACCUUUACGGAGUUGAACAUAUGCAUAUUGUUCUUAAGACAUGCCAUUAGGGCCAAGCCACCAGUUGUCAUUGGUGAAGGCAUACGUGACCAAAUAAACAUUGUUAAGCUACAUAAAACAACUAUUUUGUGAGAUAAUUGGAGCAAGGUUGGCAAAUCAUACAAAAAAGGAGUGCCAAACACCCUAAGUGCCAAAACUUGGCGUGGGUAAAUACUUAAGUACCAGAAUUUCUAAAAGGUACACUUAAGUACCAAAAUCAGAGAAGAAAAUAACAUUUAAGUGCCAGCGGCGAGAAUUUCCAACUAAACUAUUGAUGUGGCUCUUUCCAACAAGAUUUUUUUUUUUUUUUUUAUUGAUGUGGCAAUUCUUUUAAAAAACUUAUCCACAUGAUGCUAACAUGGCUAGAUAUGCCCAAAACGAUACUGUUUUGACUGAAAAUUUGAUUUUUAAAUUAAAAAACUAAAUUACAAAAAAAGAAAAAAAGAGGGAGGUAGUAUUCGGCGAGGGCCUCCCUAGCCCUUGCCGUCGCUGCUGCCACCCCACCAUCGUUGAAAAGGGCAAGCGAUGGUGGGAUGAGGGUUAGCCGAGGUCGCCAGACCCCAGCAAGUGGCCAACGACCUUAGUUGACUGCCAGCGAGGGCUUGUAGGCCCUCAUCCAAAUCUAAGGCGAGAGGUCGUGGGUGACCCCAUCACAGCUAAUGGUGGCCCUUAGCCCCUUUGGGCGAGGGCUAGUGAUCUCGAUCGACCUUUGCCCCACCAUUGUCGACCCUUUCCAACGAUGGUGGGGCAACCAUGGCAAGGGCUAUGGAGGCCCUCGACUCUCGUUUUUUUAAUUUAGUUUUUAAUUUAAUAUAAUUAAUAAUUAUAUUAAAAAUCAAAUUUGGGGGCAAAAAGAUGUCGUUUUACACAUUGAUUGCUAAGUAGACAACCUUUAGUGAGCCACACAGACCCAUAUUUAUUAUUAAAAUAAUGCCACAUUGGAUUUCUAGCUAUCUUCACUAGAGUAGGCAUUUAAUUGUCCAAUUUUUAAAAAUAGUUGCACUUAAGUGUACAUUUUAGAUAUCUUGGUACUUGAGUGUCCACCUGUGCCAAAUUUUUGCACUCAUAGUGUACUUUUGCCUACAAAAAAGGUUAAAAUUUUCAAAUAAUAGUAGUAAACUCAAGGCAUUGCCAAUAAAGGUAAAUAAAAAUUAGUGAAAGAUAAACAAAGGUUUUUGUCAAAGAUAGAAGAAGAUGGCAAUUUAAAAACAAAAACAAAAUAAAUAUUGGCAAGUAUCUUAAAUAAGAGGUGGUAACUUGAUUAGAAAAGCUAGUCCUUGUAAGUAAAAAUAAUUGACUAUUGAUAAGCAACUCAAAUGAGAGUUAGUAACUCAAAACUAGUUGGUAAUUUGACCCCUGAAAACUUUGUGAGGUCACGCAAACAAAGAUUGAUCAUUUCAUAUGGUAGUUGGUAAAUUUAAACCUUAAGUAAGAAAGGUAAAUAAACGUUGGUAAGUAAUUAGAGAAGCUUUUUUUGGUUAAAGAUAAGAGAAAUUGGUAAUUUAAAAGAAAAUCCCAAAUAAAUAUUGGUAGCUAACUCAAGUAGGAGUCGGUAUGCAAAAUAAGUUGGAAACUUAAUUAGUUAAAAGUAGGGAAUCGCUAAAAGUUUCUAAAAACAACCGGUAGAUUUAUAAAGUUUGUCAAGAAGGCAAACAAAAGAAGUGACUUAAUAAAAAUUUUAUAAAUAAAAAAAUAAAUGAACUUUGACAUAAGCAACUCAAAUGAGAGUUGACAACGCUAGCCACUAGGUUACUUAAUUGGAGUGACAUGUUAGUAACUAAAAAUAUAUGGUAGUUGAUAAAACAUUGGUGGUAAACAAGAGAAGUUUUUUUUUUUUAGGUCAAUCACAAGGGAAAGUUUUAAUUGAAAAUAAAAAAACAUCAAUAGCUAACUCAACUAAGUAUAUGUAAUGCAAAUUUUGUUAAUGACUUGAUUGGAUAAUGUUGAGAAUCACUACAAUUCCAAUUCCCAAUUGCAAUUUCUAAAAAGGAGUUGGUAGAUUUAACAAGUGGAUAAAGGAGGCAAAUCAAAGUUGGUAACUCAUUGAAAAAGUGGAUAAAUUUUUUAGAAAAAUAAACAUUGGUAGGCAAUUCAAAUGAAACUUAGUAAAUCAAAGCUAUUCAAUAAUCUAAUGGGAGAACAACUGUUAACUCACACAAUUAAAGGUUGGUGAAGUCAUAUAAAAGUUGAUAAAUUUAAGUCAUCCAUAAGAGAGACAAAUAAAAGUUGGUAAUAAUAAGAAAAUUUGAUAAAUUAAAGUAAGAUCAAAUAAAUAUCGGUAAGUAAUUCAAAUAAAAGCUGGAAAACCAAAACUAGUUGGUAAUUUGAUUGGAAAAAAAGUUGAUAAGUCACUCAAAUAAAUAUUAAAAGAUUCAUAUAUUUGUUGGUAAAUAUUAAUGAUUCAAAAUAAAAGUUAGUGUAAACUGCUAAAAGAGUUGGUAAUUUCAUGAAACUCUUGCUAAAUUACCAAUAAAUUACGGAAUAAUAAGGGACCGGUAGCUUAUUUCUACUUGUAUUUUUAUAUUUAUUAACUCUAUCAGAAAUCUACAAGCAAUGAACAAAAAUCAUUUUUUUAGCAAAAGAAUAGAAUUGUCCUAUUUACUUUUCAUCAUAAUUAUUUAAAAUAUAUAUACAUAACCAAAUCACUUAGUGGCUUGAGAAAUGAGAGAUUAACCCACUAAGCCAUGAGUGUUCUCAUAACUUUUAUUCUUAUCAUACGGAUACCAAUUCAAUUAUAAAUUAUUAUUUUUGUCAAUUAAGCCAUGAAUCUUGUAAAUAUCGUACUUUCAGUCAAUUUGAAUUAGAAAUUACUGACAUAGACGUUAGUUGUCUUAUGUGACACGAUUGUUGCUGACAUAGACAAUUUUUAUAAUUUUGUUAGACUUUUUGAAUUUUUUAUUUUAUAUAUUCUUUUUCUUUCUUACUUUUCCUUCUUUUUUUUCUUCUAAGUUUGAUGAGGAUCGUCGACCCUCACUUGCCAUAGAUUUGGCAAGGGCUACAAAGCCCUCCCCAAUCAUGGUCAAGGGUCGUCGGCCCUCUCUUGUGGUCGACAAGGGUCGAGUGGCCCUCAUUGAACUUGGUAAAAAAAAAUGGAAAAGAAAGAAAAAUAAUAAAAAUAAUAAUAAAUUAUAAAAAUUGUCCACAUCAUAGUGUCAACAUCAACAAUUUUCAAUUAAAAUUGGCCAAAAUGACUACAUUAGUAAAUCAUCAAAUUUUUUAGGAUUCAAUUUAUAAAAUUCAAAAACUUAAAACUAAAUUGACAUAUGUAUAAUAGGUUUAUGACUUUUUGGGUAAUUUUACUCAUUUGCUAUUGAUAAUGCUUUAAAAAGUUCAUUUAAUAUCUUAUUAAUCUUUCAGAAUGAGAAGGGAAAAAAAAAAGAAUCGAUUGGUUUUUAUUUUCCUUAAGGACAAUUAUUAUUUUUUUUUUGGUCAAUCAAACAUUAUGUAAGUCAAAUCCUUUUCAUGUAGACUCCUAGCAAGGUUUGGAUAACCAAGGAUACUGGAGUUGGCAAUUGAUUAUCUAGACCUUGCUAUAAGGCAGCCAGUCCAACAUAGUGCAUUUCACCCUCCCAUUUUCACCCUAGACGUGAAAGGCUAUUAUACCUGCCUAUCCGACAGUAGCCAGAGUGUUUCCACCCUAACGUGGUGUCUAUUUUCACAACUAAAGGGCCUCCUAAUUCCCUUCUCUAUCUUUUUCUUCCCGAAGAGGAGGGAAUAUGGGAGUGACAUUAUAGGGUCUUUCAUCUUAGGGUGAAUCUCUCGCCUAUUUCUUCCCCUUAAGUAUUUUAAGGACCUGCUUAGGUCCAAGUCUACUUUAUUUAGUAUCUUAUCAUAGUUGUUUUCUUUUCAUAAGUUCACACAUGUAUGUGUGUAUGUAUGUAUGUAUGUAUGUAUGUAUGUAUACACACGUAAUAUAUAUAAAAAUAGGUUUUCAUAAGCCUGGAAGAAUUUUAUACUAAUGGUGGUCAUCUUUAAUGAACAGGAUAAGAAAAACGCUUUAAUGUCAACACAAGAAAGAAAUUAGGAGAAACCCUUUCUUGUGCGAAGGAAAAGACGAAGAAGAAGAUAAGAAAUAAUCAAUCCAUUGUUUUAUAUUUUCCACUUACUUAUCUUAUGUUUAGUAUCCGUUGAAUUUUAGAUGUUAAUCAUUAUUAGAAUAUGAAACUAUUGAUCCAUUAUAUGACAUUCAAUCUUGCAAGAGGGACAUAGUGAUGCCACUCGAAUUUGGCUUGAAAAGGAAAUGGAUAAAGUCAAAUAAUAUUCUUCAAAUACACAUGCUAUGACUAGAAUGUGAGACAUGUUAUUUCUAACAUCGAUAUCCGAAAUAGAAUACAAGCAAGAAGCUUUUAAUAAUUAUUUAUCAUAUAUAACAUAAUUGAAUCGUCAAAACAAUAAUUCGAUUCUUUUUACUAAAUUAAUAUUGGAAAUCUAUAAAACCUAGAAAUCAAUUUCAGACAAUUGAACUUCUCAAGUCGUCUCUUGUUGAGAACAAAAGGUAUUUGUGCCAAUAUAUAAUAUGCUAAAAAAAAUAAAAUGCCUAGAACAUGGAAUUGAUCUUAAAAGUACUAUUUCUAUAUCAUGGCAGGAGAGAUAAUUAUCAAAUCAAUGCUAAAUCUAUUGUUUAAAUACUAAUUCAGUCCUAAAUAAUUUUGUCUAAUGUAAUUUUAAACCUUUGUGCAAAAUUUCGAAAUAGUUCUUUUAUCCAACUACCGCAAAAAACUGUUGAUGUCAUGCCUAGUCAUCUCCGAUCAUCCUACAUAGUAAAUGAUAGUGAUGGCUUUGCUCAAAGUAACAUCUUUUGUGGACCACAAUGUUAGCAAUUGGCCAGAAUGACUAUUUUGAAAUUUCGCACAAAGGUUUAUGUUGAUGCUCAAGUUUUUAUAGACGUUUUAAGUAUUCGCUCAUUUUAUGAGAUAUACAAAAUAAAUAUAAUAAUAAAGAAUGAGAAAAUUAAACAAAAAGUAAUGGUAAUAAAAAAAUAAAAAAGAGAUAUAAAACGAAGGAGAUAAAAAAAAAUGGUAAUAAAAUUCGGAGCCCAUAUUCCUUAGCAAAUUUCGGACCUGCCGAGCCCGCGUAACCAGCCCAUUUCUCUUAUUUCGUUUAUGUCUUUCAAACUCACUUUGCUUGGCCCAUUUUCCUUUCUUUGUUCACAUAAGCCCAUCAGAACUAAAAAGAAACAAAAAGCCCAGCCCAGCCCAGCCCAGCCCAGCUCAGCCUUUCCUCUGGCCUUGCUUCGGUAAGGAGCAGCGUGCUUGGGGAGAAGAAAAGGAGAAGCGACCGCAGCGACACAGCAGAAAGACAGGAGCGUUCGGCCAUUGUUGAGGGAGGGGAGAGCAAGGUUGGCUCUGCAAAAAAGUGACAACCAGAGGGAAGGAGGGACAGCCAAGGGAAAAGUUCACUAGAGACAUGUAGCUCGCUCGACGGAGGAGAGCUCAUUGGAAGCAGCCAAGGAGAAAGGAGAAAUCUGAGAGAAUGAGAGAGUGCCGCGGGUUUCGAUCUCAGAGAUGAACUCAAGAUGGGUUCGACGAGAUCGAAUCUGGCGGAGUCGUCGACUGCAGGGAGGAUGAAGUCAGAGUUGAUGGCGAGGUGAGCGAUGAUGUCACCGGCGAGAGGAUGGAGUUAGAGUUGACGGCAAGGAUGGACAGCUUCAGAGUCGACGGCGCUAGGGUUUUUGGUUGAAGCGUUGAGGAGAAGGAACGCCCCCAUCUGGUGAACGAAGAAGAUGCCCAAAUUGGAGAAAAGAAGAAACGAUUUCUAUUCAUAUUUCAGAAACUGAGAAGUUACAAUUUUUAGCUUCUGAUUUCUCCUCCAAAUCAAUUUCUGGAAUAGAAAUCUAUUUUAGAAAUAAAGAAAUCAAAUUGCAUUACCAAAGGGAUUUCUGUUCCAAACUUGUUCCGGGGAACAGAGAAAUAGAGAAAUCAAGAAACAGAAAUUUAUUAUGUGCAGCCUUAAGUACCAAAAUCAGAGAAGAAAUGAACAUUUAAGUGGCAAUGGCGAGAAUUUCCAACUAAACUGUUGAUGUGGCUCUUUCCGGCAAGAUUUUUUUAUUGAUGUGGCAAUUCUUAUAAAAAAUUUAUCCACAUGAUGCUAACUUGGCUAGAUAUGCCCAAAACGAUGUUGUUUUAACUCCAAAUUUGAUUUUUAAAUUAAAAAACUAAAUUACAAAAAAUGAAAAAAAAAAAGAGGGAGGCAGCAUUUGGCGAGGGCCUCCCUAGCCCUUGUUGUCGCCGCCGCCACCUCACCAUCGCAAAAAAGGGCCAACGACGAUGGGAUGACGGUUAGCCAAGGUCGCCAAACCCAAGCAAGUGACCAACGACCUUAGUUGACUACCAACGAGGGCUUGUAGGCCCCGUCCAAAUCUGGGGUGAGAGGUCGUGGGUGAUCCCAUCACAGCUAACAGGGCCCUUAGCCCCUUUGGGCGAGGGCCAGUGACCCCGACUAACCUUUGCCCCACCGUUGUCAACCCUUUUUGACAAUGGUGGGGCAACCAUGGCAAGGGCUAUGGAGGCCCUCGAUGAAUGCUACCUCUCUCCUUUUUUUAAUUUAGUUUUUAAAUAUAAUAUAAUUAAUAAUUAUAUUACAAAUCAAAUUUGGGGGCAAAAAGAUGUCGUUUUGCACAUUGAUUGCUAAGUAGACAACUCUAGUGAGCCAUAUAGACUAUAUUUAUUAUUAAAAUAAUGCCACAUUGGAUUUCUAGCUAUCUUCACUAGAGGAGGCAUUUAAUUGUCCAAUUUUCAAAAAUAGUUGCACUUAAGUGUACAUUUUAGAUAUCUUGGUACUUGAGUAUCCACCUGUGCCAAAUUUUCGCACUCGUAGUGUACUUUUGCCUACAAAAAAGUUUAAAAUUUUCAAAUAAUAGUAGUAAACUCAAGGCGUUGCCAAGAAAGGUAAAUAAAAAUUAGUAAAAGAUAAACAAAGGUUUUUGUCAAAGAUAGAAGAAGAUGGCAAUUUAAAAACAAAAACAAAAUAAAUAUUGGCAAGUAUCUUAAAAAAGAGGUGGUAACUUGAUUGGAAAUAUGCCAGUAAUCACUCUAAUGAAGUUGGCAAUUUCAAAAAAAGAGUUGGUAAAUUGAAAAUGUUAGUGAGUGAGGCCAAUAAAAGUGGUAACUCAAUAGAAAAGCUAGUCCAUGUAAGUAAAAAUAAUUAACUAUUGAGAAGCAACUCAGACAAGAGUUAAACUCAAAACUAGUUGGUAAUUUAAACCCCGUAACUUUGUGAGGUCACGCAAACAAAGAUUGAUAAUUUCAUAUAGUAGUUAGUAAAUUUAAACCUUUAGUAAGAAAGGUAAAUAAAAGAUGGUAAGUAAUUAGAGAAGCUUUUUUUAGUUAAAGAUAAGAGAAGUUGGUAAUUUAAAAGAAAAUCCCAAAUAAACAUUGGUAGCUAACUCAAGUAGGUUAGUUAAAAGUAGGGAAUCGCUAAAAGUUUCUAAAAACAACCGGUAGAUUUAUAAAGUUUGUUAAGAAGGCAAACAAAAGAAGUGACUUAAUAAAAAUUUUAUAAAUAAAAAAUAAAUGAACUUUGAUAUAAGCAACUUCAAUGAGAGUUGGCAACGCUAGCCACUAGGUUACUUAAUUGGAGUGACAUGUUAGUAACUAAAAAUAUAUGGUAAUUGAUAAAACAUUGGUGGUAAACAGGAGAAGUUUUUUUUUUUUUUUAAUUUUUUUUGGUCAAUCACAAGGGAAAGUUUUAAUUGAAAAUAAACAAACAUCAAUAGCUAACUCAACUAAGUAUAUAUACUGCAAAUUUUGUUAAUGACUUGAUUGGAUAAUGUUGAGAAUCACUCCAAUUCCAAUUCCCAUUAGUAAUUUCUGAAAAAGGAGUUGGUAGAUUUAACAAGUGGAUAAAGGAGGCAAAUCAAAGUUGGUAACUCAUUGAAAAAGUGGAUAAUUUUUUUAGAAAAUUAAACAUUGGUAGGCAAUUCAAAUGAAACUUAGUAAAUCAAAGCUAUUCAAUAAUCUAAUGGGAGAACAACUGUUAACUCACACAAUUGAAGGUUGGUGAAGUCAUAUAAAAGUUGAUAAAUUUAAGUCAUCUAUAAGAGAGACAAAUAAACUUUGGUAAUAAUAAGAAAAUCUGAUAAAUUAAAGUAAGAUCAAAUAAAUAUUGGUAAGUAAUUCAAAUGAAAGAUGGAAAACCAAAACUAGUUGGUAAUUUGAUCGAAAAAAAAAGUUAAUAAGUCACUCAAAUAAAUAUUAAAAGAUUCAUAUAUUUGUUGGUAAAUAUUAACGAUCCAAACAAAAAGUUAGUGUAAACUGUUAAAAAGAGUUGGUAAUUUCAUGAAACUCUUGCUAAAUUACCAAUAAGUUACAUAAUAACAAGGGACUGGUAGCUUAUUCUACUUGUAUUUUUAUAUUCAUUAACUCUAUCAGAAAUCUACAAGCAAUGAACAAAAAUCAUUUUUUUAGCAGAACAAUAGAAUUGUCCUAAUUUACUUUUCAUCAUAAUUAUUUAAAAUAUAUAUAUACAUAACCAAAUCACUUAGUGGCUUGAGAAAUAAGAGGUUAACCCACUAAGCCAUGAGUAUUCUCAUAACUUGUAUUCCUAUUAUAAGGAUACCAAUUCAAUUAUAAAUCGUUUAUUUUUGUCAAUUAAGUCAUGAAUCUUGCCAAUAUCGUACUUUCAGUCAAUUUGAAUUAGAAAUUACUGACAUAGAUAUUGGUUGUCUUAUGUGACACGAUUGUCGCUGAUGUAGACAAUUUUAUAAUUUUGUUAGACUUUUUGAAUUUUUUUUAUUUUAUAUAUUCUUUUUCUUUCUUACUUUUCCUCUUUUUUUUCUUCUAAGUCCGAUGAGGGUCGUCGACUCUCACUUGCCAUAGAUCUAGCGAGGGCUACGAAGCCCUCCCCAAUCAUGGUCAAGGGUUGUUGGCCCUUGCUUGUGGUCAACGAGGGUUGAGUGGCCCUCAUAGUACUCGGUACAAAAAAAAAAAAAAGGAAAAGAAAGAAAGAAAAUAAAAAAAAAAUAAUAAAUUAUAAAAAUUGUCCACAUCAUAGUGUCAACAUCAACAAUUUUCAAUUAAAAUUGGCCAAAAUGACAACAUUAGUAAAUCAUCAAAAGUUUUAGGAUUCAAUUUACAAAAUUCAAAAGCUUAAAACUAAAUUGACAUAUGUACAAUAUGUUUAUGACAUUUUGGGUAAUUUUACUCAUUUACUAUUGAUAAUGCUUUGAAAAGUUCAUUUAAUAUCUUAUUAAUCUUUCAGAAUGAGAACGGAAAAAAAGAAGAAGAAUCGAUUGGUUUUAUUUUCCUUAAGGAUAGUUAAUUUUUUUUUUUGGUCAAUCAAACAUUAUGUAAAUCAAAUCAUUUUCAUGUAGACUCCUAGCAAGGUUUAGAUAACCAGGGAUAUUGGAGUUGGCAAUUGAUUAUCUAGACCUUGUUGUAAGGCAACCAGUCCAACAGAGUGCAUUUCACCCUCCCAUUUUCACCCAAGAGGUGAAAGGCGAUUAUACCUGCUUAUCUGACAGUAGCCAGAGUGUUUCCACCAUGAUGUGGAGUCUAUUUUCACAACUAAAGGGUCUCCUAAUACCCCUCUCUAUCUUUUUCUUCCCGAAGAGGAGGGAAUAUGGGAGUGAUAUUAUGGGGUCUUUCAUCUUAGGGUGAAUCUCUCGCCUAUUUCUUCCCCUUAAGUAUUUUAAGGACCCGCUUAGGUCCAAGUCUACUCUAUUUAGUAUCUCAUCAAAGUUGUUUUCUUUUCAUAAGUUCACGAGAAUAGAAUAUAUAUAAACAUUUAUGUAUGUAUGUAUGUAUGUAUGUAUGUAUGUAUGUAUGUAUGUAUGCACACGUAAUAUAUAUAAAAAUGGGUUUUCAUAAGCCUGGAAGAAUUUUAUACUAACGGUGGUCAUCUUUAAUGAACAGGAUAAGAAAAACGCUUUAAUGUCAACACAAGAAAGAAAUGAGGAGAAACCCUUUCUUGUGAGAAGGAAAAGACGAAGAAGAAGAUAAGAAUAAUCAAUCCAUUGCUUUCUAAUUUCCACUUACUUAUCUUAUGUUUAGUAUCCACUGAAUUUUAGAUGUUACUCAUUAUUAGAAUAUAAAACUAUUGAUCCAUUAUAUGACAUUUCAAUCUUGCAAGAGGGACAUAGUGAUGCCACUCAAAUUUGGCUUGAAAAAGAAAUGGAUAAAGUCAAAUAAUAUUCUUCAAAUACACAUGCUAUGACUAGAAUGUGAGACAUGUUAUUUCUAACAUCGAUAUCCGAAAUAGAAUACAAGCAAGAAGCUUUUAAUAAUUAUUUAUCAUAUAAAAAAUAAUUGAAUCGUCAAAACAAUAAUUCGAUUCUUUUUACUAAAUUAAUAUUGGAAAUCUAUAAAACCUAGAAAUCAAUUUCAGACAAUUGAACUUCUCAAGUUGUCUCUUGUUGAGAACAAAAGGUAUUUGUGCCAAAAUAUUAUAUGCUAAGAAAAAAAGAAAAUGCCUAGAACAUGGAAUUGAUCUUAAAGUACUAUUUCUAUAUCAUGGCAGGAGAUAUAAUUAUCAAAUCAAUGUUAAAUCUAUUGUAUAAAUACUAAUUUAGUCCUAAUUUAUUUAUUUAUUUUGCCAAUGUAAUUUUAAACCUUUGUGCGAAAUUUUGAAAUAGUUCUUCUGUCCAACUGCCGCCGAAAACUAUUGACGUCACACCUAGUCAUAUCCGGUCAUCCUACAUAGUAAAUGAUAGUGACGACUUUGCUCAAACAACAUCUUAUGUGGCAAUUGGCCAAAAGGCACUAUUUUGAAACUUUGCACAAAAGUUUAUGUUGACACUCGAAUUUUUAUAGAUGUUUUAAGUAUUCACUCAAUUUACAAGAUAUAAAAAAUAAAUAUAAUAAUAAGAAAACAAGAAAAUUAAACAAAAAGUAAUGGUAAUAAAAAAUAAAAAAGAGAUAUAAAACGAAGGAGACAAAAAAAAAUGGUAAUAAAAUUCGGAGCCCAUAUUCCUUAGCAAAUUUCGGACCUGCCGAGCCCGCGUAACCAGCCAAUUUCUCUUAUUUCGUUUAUGUCUUUCAAACUCACUUUCCUUGGUUCUUUCUUUGGUCACAUAAGCCCAUCAGAACUAAAAAGAAACAAAAAGCCCAGCCCAGCCUAGCCCAGCCCAGCCCAGCCUUUCCUCUGGCCUUGCUUCGGUAAGGACCAGCGUGCUUGGGGAGAAGAAAAGGAGAAGCGACCGCGGCGACACAGCAGAAAGACGGGAGCGUUCGGCCAUUGUUGAGGGAGGGGAGAGCAAGGAAGGUUCUGCAAAAAAGUGACAACCAGAGGGAAGGAGGGACAGCCAGGGGAAAAGUUCACUAGAGACGUGUAGCUCGCUCGACGGAGGACAGCUCGCUGGAAGCAGCCAAGGAGAAAGGAGAAAUCUGAGAGAACGAGAGAGUGCAUCCCGUUUAGGAGCGACGGAAAACCGCAUCGCCGGAGCUCGCCGUCGAUUUUCAGAGCUCCGGUCAAAGGCCAAUCCGCGAGUUGUUCUUCACAGUUGCUCUAACCAGACGAUCUUCAUCGUCGUCAAUCGAGACCUCGAUCCGCCAAACAAACCGGGAACAAUCUCGCUCCAAACGCUCUUCUCUGUCUCAGUUUUGGCCGAGAAAGAAAUGCUCGACUCGAUCGAUUUUCUUGAAAGAAUCUUUGAUAAAACGAAUUUUUGUAUUGUUGCUAAAAAUGGUGUUUUAAGUCUGUACGUAACGUGUGAAGCUGAGGAUCUCGUUAAAAUCAAAAUCAGAGAACUGUUGAAAGAUCUGCAUAUUGCACGUUUGAUCAAAAUGCCUAACAGAGGGCCGAAAGUUCAAUCACGUUUAAACUCAAGAUCGAUUCGUACUUGCUGCGUCAUUUGUUGAAUCAUGUCUAAUACUAGCAUUUUCUCUGUGUUUCUAUGCGAUUUGAUGAAAAAUCUUUGCUCGAGUCCAACGUGCAUGCAUAUAUCUCCAAUGCUGGAAAGCUUUCCGUCGGAGAAUUCCAUCGCACCCAGCGAAGUCAGCGUUUCAAGGGCAUAUUAGUUAAGCCCAUCUCGCUUCAUUCUAAUGUAAGUUUUCUUGUGAACUUGCUGGGGUUGCUGCUGUUAAAAAAGUGGAUUCGGUAGGAUGGUUUUUGUUAAGUUUUCGGAUAGAUGGAGUGGGCAGCCGGAGGUGGUCAAAGUGGGUCGGAAUAGACGAUCGGCGGUCGGAGAUAGGUCGGCGGUGAUCUAAGCUUUCGUGAUAAACUCGUCGGUGAUGAUAUUUGUUUCGUUAAAAAGGAAUAUAAAAAAAAAAAAAAAAUUUGGCCGCGAAAGGUGGAGUUGCAGGUUGAAGAUGGUGUUCGGGUAGAGGAUGUCGAGAGAGGAAGGGAGAAAUGCAGGCAGAACGAGACAAAAACAGGAAAAGACAAAAACAAAUUAAAUAAAAAAAGGCAAAUCAAUUAAAAAAUUCAAAAGAAUAUUAGAAAUCGGUUUUAAUCCGACGCGGGUCGGAUCCGGCUAUACGGCUCGGGUCAUAGAUUCGGAUCGGAUUAACGGUCCGAACCCAUUCGCUGAAUAGAAUAAAAUAAAAUAAAAUAAACAAAUUCUGAAAAAAUUCUAAAAAAAUUCAUAAAAGAUAUAAAAAUCCUAAAAAUCAAUAAACAAUAGGAAAUUCGAAGAUAUAGAAAAAUUCCGAAAAUUUUUAAAAGUUAUUGUUAUAAAAAAUCGAAGAAUAGAAAAUUCUUAAAUAACAAUAAAAAUAAAAAAGUUCAGAAAAAUUCCAAAAAUAUUUAAAGAUUCAAAAAAAAAAAUUCCACAUACAUAGAUUUUUAAUCUCGAAAAUAAAUAAAAUAAAUAAAUAAAUAUUAAAAAUUCAGAAAAAUCAUUAAAAAUUCAUAAAAUUCUAGAAAAUGAGAAAAAAUUCAGAAAAAUUUGCAAAUUAUUUAAAAAAUUAAAAUAUAAAAUUAGACAACCCUUUAGCACUUUACAAUAGGAUUUUUAUUUUGAAUUUCCCAACAAAUUUAUGAUUCUUGGUGUACUUAUGCUUUGGAUAUUCUAUUUUUAUUGUAAAUAUCGCAAAUUAUAAAAUUCUAAUUGUUGGUAUAAUAGAGAUAUUUAAAUUUUUUUCUGAUUUUCUAUAUUUAUUUUGGUUAUCUAUAUCUAAUUAGAUUUUUUUUAUCUCCUUAAUUAUUCAACUACUCUUUUUUAGAACAUCGAAAUUUACAUAAACUUCAUAUUAAUCUCUUCCGCAUCAUUAUUCUUAACUUAAAAAAAAAAACAAAACUCUAAAGUUUUUUCACCACAAACCGUUCAGCUUCUCUCUAACAUUUUCUCUCUUCAUCACUCACAUCGUUCACUGUAAGCUCAAGCUCAAAUGCUCUCUCUCCGUUCAUCUUUGCUUUCACCAAUGCCUGUGCCCAGUGAGUGACUCGCUGACUGUGGUUCGUCUCUGUUCAUUGGUGGUGUCAUUUACUAUGGUUUUUUCUAUGUUCUUUUCUUCUUUUUGGUUUGGCUUUUUUAUAACUAGGAAUUGGAGUGAUUUAGGUUCAUGACUCGUGAAUCAACUCGAUAUCCGUAAAAUGUAUUUGCUGAUUGUCAAUUGUGAUGUGAACCCGUUUGUUCUGAUUUGCUUUCCAUUGAUUCUUGCAUUUUUUCCUUGCCUUGGUUCCUUUUCUUUUUCUUGGUUUGCAAGUUUUAACAUCUGUUAUUUUACUGAUAGAUUCUAGUUUCCUACUUGAAUUAUGAGGUUUUACCCUGCUUUGUCUUCUUUCCAAUUCGUGUAGUAUACGUGAUUUGAGUUCCAAUUGCUGUUCAUACUAUGCCUCAGUCCCAUUGUUUAAUGUCCUAAGGAUUCAUUCCGAGUGAGGUUUUGAACUUCUAAGAGCUCUUUCUUUAGGAUUCCGUGUUGGGUUUCUCUUGGAGGGGUUUAAGUCUAUUUAUUCAUGGCUUUGCCUCUCUUAUUGUGGCCAUUUUCUGUUAUAUUUACGAUCUUAUUGGAUAUUCGUGUGACCUUUGCCUCCAGCAGAUGAAGAUAAUAGAUGAGCAUUUUAAUCGAGUUGUGAUCUCUUACUAAGAAUUGUUAAUAUUUUUUGUCUUGGUGAUUUUUAUCCAUGGGAAACACAAGACGCAUGGUCAUAUGCGUGGGUCCACGCGUAGUGCAGAUAAGUUGUGAAUUAGAAGAGAAGGUUGAAAAAUCACACAUGGGUGUUGAGCUACGUUCUAAUUCAGAGACUGAAACUAAGCAGCCUCAAGAAUAGACUACAAAUGUGAAUGCAUCAGGUAAGACCUACCUACAUAUAUUUUGUGUAAUUUUUCAUCAUACUAUACUAAAAUGGUCAGUGUAUUGAUCUCGUUUCAUAAUAUUAGAUAUGUCUUUCAAUAUUUAGAAUUUCUUGUCUAGUAGUUGCCACUAGAAAAAGGAAGCGCACCUUUAUGUGUCUAUCGGGCAUAUGGAAUCUUCCUCCUGGGAAACACGUUAUUGUCAAGUUAGGGAAGAAAAUGCAGCCCAUUGGAGGUUUGGGGAGUUUCUCAGAACCAUUGGUAGCGAAUUGGCACCAUUGUUUACAACUUGAAACGAAUUACCAUGGAUAUGAGAAACAUUAUGAUUAAGAUUGUAGAGAUCGUUAGGUUGUACUCAUAUGAAAUCCCAUUCAUGUUGUAAAUAAAUUUAACACGAUUAUUAAUAUUUCUUUGUUGUAGUCUACGCUUGAUUAUCUUCAUACCAGCUAUGGAAAAAUGGAUUCUACAUUCCUUGAAUUCUAAAUGGAGAUAUUGGAAAAGUGAUCUAAAAGCUGCUCGCUAUUAUAGCUCUCAAUCUUUAUCGUAUCAUUUGAAGAAUCUUUUGGAGAGAUUGAGAAGAGAUAGAUGGAAAAAUCUCGUCACUUUUUGAAGUUCAAAGGAAGGGAAGGUAUGAAUCUCGUUCCAGCAUUGUUUUAAUAUGACCGGUCAACAUUAAGUAGACUUUCAUCGCCCAUUAUUGACCAUUUUGUGAUGAACUUAUUAUUAUUAUUAUUUUUUUUUAUCGCAGAAGCUGAGCGAUGCAAAUAAGGCUGAUAGAGCAAAACAAAAGAUACAACACACCUUAGGGAAUAAAAGUUUGUCUAGAAUAACUGCAGCAAAGGUACUCUCAUGUUUUCCGUUAAAUUUUUGUGUUUCCCUAUAAGUGAUAUUUCCAUUUUGUAAUCAAUAACUUUUCUUUAAAAAUAUUCUGCUGUGGUGAUAUAUCAUUGGACCUAAGGUAAAGAUGUCCCGAGAUUUGUGACUUUUCCAACAAUAUGCGUUUUAAUAGUAGUUGUCGUAGGAAGAAAACAUAGGAUUUGUUCUAGAUUGCCUCCUUAAGAUUGUCCACGUUCUUAGCACCUGCAUUGAUAUCUUGUUAUUAUUCCCUUAGCUUUGUGAUUUGGAUUUGCUGGUGACAGCACAAUCAUCCACAACUUGCUUCAGGUUUAUCUAGAACGCAUAGUCCGCCAUCGUUAACAAAAGAGCUAUGCAGUAGCCAGAGCUGUAAAUUAACUUAUAGAUUAUGAAACCUAUACAAGUUUCUAUUAAUUUGCUAACAUGACUGCACUUUGUAUAUGAGAGUGAACGAAAAAACAGAAAACUACUGCAGCCCUAGAAUACCCAAUUACUAGCUGUGCCAUGUCACAUGUAUGCACACGUCCCCACAAUUGUUGAAAAGCCAUUCAAUAUAGUUCAUCUAGUGUUAACAAAUGUUAUGCAGUCUUGGCAAUGACAAUAUUGCUGCUGCAAUUUAUUAGGAAUUUAUACAGUUAUCUGAGCAGAAGAUGAAUGGACCAAGAAAAGAGGGUAGGCUGGAAUAAAUAGUAUAAAAUUAAAACCAAAAGUCUAACUUCCUAGUGUGUGUUUUCAUAUGGUUUUGGUAGAUGACAAGCCAUAUAACAAUCCGCAAGAAACACCUAUAAAAAUAAAGAAUGAGAUUACUUUUCAAUUUGAUAUCUCUGGACAUCUUUUCUUGUUUUACAGGAAAGUCAGUUAUGCUGACUAACCAAGUUCUGGCACAUGAUAGGAAGCAGAGUUAAGAAUUCAGCUUAAAAUUACUCGACAAUAAAUAGUAACAUCAUUAUUUUAUUUUAUGUUACCGAAUUGCAAGGAAGCAUGAAUGAUCUCAUAGAUCUAUAUUUGGAACUUGGAAAGAGCAAUCCCCCCAUGAAAUACUGUUUUUCUAGUGUUGGGAAAAAAGAAACCUGGUGUAUCUGAUGCUAGGGCAUAGUCCAUGCCUGAAUGAUUUGGGGCCUCAAAAUCUAGUUGUCUUCCAACCGAGAACUUAAGGUCAAAGAAAAAGAAGGAUGAAGAGAUUCACAUUUUGAAGAAAUAUAGUUGUCUUCCAUCCGAGAAAUGAAGGUCAGACAAUGAGAAAGAUGAAGAGAUUCACAAGUUGAAGGGAAUACUGAAAGCAACAAAAGAGCAAUUACAAAAGACAAAAUGGAGACGUGCAAGAGUUACGGGCUCAAAAAGAUGUCUACUAUUAUACAAAAUUGUUAGCAUGCGGCAGACUCAAAGUGGUAUCACGAGAUCUAGAUGAGGUAGUAUGUCAUGAGCCAUGAGGUGUGACUAAUUUCAUUGAAUGUUAAAAUAGUGAAAGGUGUUUUAUUUACUAAAUACUGAGUGACCUAGAUAUUGGACACUAAGGGGGUUUUAAAGGGAAUAUAGGUGGGAUAGACUUGAAACAUGAGUAUGGUAUCGGGAUCGCUUCAAUGGAGCUUGGAAGUGGAAUACAAAUUUAGCAUAUUGUUACUAUGUUUUUUUUUUUUUUUUUUUUUUUUUUUUUUUUUUUUUUUGCUGUGACUAAAUCAUGUUUUGGGUUUACUUCUCUUGCAUCAUGCCUUGUCCUUUUUGCUAAUUUUGAAGUACACAAGUGAUUGCCCUUAUCAGUCACUGCUGGGUGUUGCUCCUUUUUUUUUUUAAGGUCACUUCUGAGCUCUUUUGUCCUUCUCUGUAUAGAUCCUGGGGUGUUAUAGCAUCUUUUAUAUUGAAGAGAAGUUGAAAUGUUGCCUGUUUUGGCACUUGAGAGUGGUUGAGGGACACGGUCAAAUGCUUGGAAAUGGUCUAUGUUGAUGAAUGGGUUUAUCAGAUGACCUAAUACCAUAUGUUGAUGAACCUUACGCUACUCUAUUUUUGGCCCUCAAUGCAUUUCUUCUUCUUCUUGCUCUUAAAGGUUAGGCUUCUAUUUUCAUAAUCAAACUUCUCGAGUUUGCUGGGUUACAGCAAUGAUUGUGAUUUGUGAACUGGUUUACAGCCAUUCAAUAUUGGUUGUAGUGUUUAUAAGAUGCUUUGGCCACUCACAACUAUGUUUUUUGCAAUGAAGUGAAUGGAGCUCCUUUGUUCACGUCUCUGCAUUUUUUUCAAGUGACAGGAAAUGUGGCUUAUCAUGUCUUGCUCAUUCUGUUUUAACAAAUAAGCUUCUCUACGUUUUGAUAUGCUUUACAGAUUAGUUAUGAGCUCCUACGUUCAUUUAUUUUAUUACUUUCUGUGAUCUAAGCUUCCUCUACAUCCUUCUCCAAUCCAAAUUAUUGAAGGUUUAAUUGUGCGAUGUUCAACUAGCGAUCACUCUCAUGAUAGCUUGUGCUGAUUUCACACCCAUUAUGCUUAAUCCUCUUUCCUGCACUCAUUUGCUUUGCUGGAUGAUGACCAUCAUAACCCACAAUAGAGAUCUCCAAAAAUCAGUUUAUGCUCUCCAUUGUCGAGUCAUGAGCCACACUCUAAAAGAUGGGGUUGGUGUUACCUCCAAAGGUACAGUGAUCAUUGUAGAGCCCGCAUUCUAUUUAUUUUUUGUUAUAAAUGUCUUAGGUCUAGUAAAAAAAGAACAAAACAGCUUCUUGUGCCCGUUGUUGAAGAAAGCUCAUUAAAGAACUAGUAUAGUUCCCGCAUCUUCAAGAUAUGAUGAGGCUAGAAAAGAUUUUAUAGCGAUGAUAGGACCUCUUUCAUGUGCAGUCGAACAUUAUGUCCGAGCUAUAGCUGAAAUUGCUUUAGAAUGCGAAAAAGGAAAACACAGCAACAUAGUGUUUUUGUUGCAGUGAUUCUCUCUUGGACAUAGGGUGUCUAUCUCUCCCUCUCUGAACCUACCUUGUUUAAUUAUUCCUUUCUUGCAUUGGAAUAGUACAAAGAGCAAUCUAGAGAGUCCAAUAACUUAUGGAUGUCGGUGAAAAAUUGACCAUUGUCCUUCAGUACAUCUAGACAAUUUUUGGAUUGCGCCAAAAAGGCGAAAGCCCAUGCUUGAGAAGUUUUCGCCUUUUUGUUGUGAUUUGUGUAACGUGAUCAAAUGGAUGAUUCAGGGGUUUCAUGGCUGUUGCGUGACGGCUAAGCAAGUUGAGCGUCAUAACUCCUGAGCACGUCAAUUUGUUGUUUUUUGAAUCUUAUGACUUUGAUAAGUUAAUAGAUUUAGCUUUGAGAAGAUUUUGGAAUAAAGUACUCAACGGAGACGAGGAUUUCGCAUUAUUCAUCCGUUGAUGUUUCUUGGGUGGAUAUGUGAUGCGUUGUCCUGAAGGAUGUUGAGGACAUGAGGCGAUUCUCUUGUUCCGUUUCCGAUUAUUAGCAAAGCCAACAUCUUGGGAAUCAUCUAUAGCAUAAGAGCUAAAAACAAAGAUAAAAGUAAAUAGGCGUGCGCUAUGCAAACGCAACAGACCUGAAAGAGUUUGUCAUAUACAUUUAUUAGUCAACCUUUAUAAUGCAAUAUUUGCUUGUGGUUAUCUAACUAAUUUCGAUGACAUGUUACAGGUGUCAAAUGUUGUAGGUGUCAAAUUUUGUAAUACUACAUUCAUGUGGCUUGCAUGUUGUGUUAAUAAUUUAAAGGAUGUUAGAAAAAUGAAAGCAUGAUAUUACUUUUUUUUAAUUUUUUUAUGAGAACUAGAGAUGGAGUUCAAGUUUCACAUUGUGGUUUAGUUUCUUAGUUAUCAAUAAUUGAGUAGAAUCAACUUUAAUCUUGGACGCAUAUGCUAUAUAGAGUUGAGCUUGAGCAUGGGAUUGAGAAACAAAGUUUUGGCAUACUAACAGUACAAUAUCAAACCAUCAAUUUGAACUUAAACUUUGUAUCAACAAACUACUUCAAAUGAAUUUAUAGCUUGACUGCAAUUUUAUAGCUUUUUUUCCCCAAAUGAAGUACGUUUUCUUAGACACUUUUAGUUCAUUGACCAACUAAAUAAUAUGCUACGACAUUCCUUGCAUGCCGACAAGAAUGAUGCUAGUGGUCUUCAAAACUUCACCAAGCCUCUCCAACGUAUACAAGUCCCGUGAGAGCUUGAUUCCUGAAAAAUAUAAUCACCAUCAAUCUUUCGAGAAAAUUUCAAAAUAAAAUUAAGAUAAUCAAACUAUGUAGUCAAAUCAACCAAAAAUACAUGUGAACUUAUUUUUACUGUGUUUAAUAUAUUUGUCAAUGUAUACUAUUUAUAACAAAUAUAUAGAAGAUGUUAACUGCAUUCAUUGAGACUGAAAUACUCGAAAGGAUGCUGAUGAAAGUAAAAAAUAAUUGCAUUCAUUGAGAUUGAAAUAUUAGAAAUGAUCUAUAUAUAAUAGAAAAUGAUAUCAUGUGAAAAGAUACAUAAAUCUGGUGAGAUUCGUAUUGCGAUUAAAGGAAUGGGAUUAUAUGUGCAGAUUUAAUAUAUCACAUAAGUUUAUUUCUUGCACCACCAAAUGCAAACAAUUUAAUACUAAGCCAUUCACCCAAUCUUUGGCUUGUACCCUACUUGGUCCAUGAGAUUAGUAAGGUAUGAUAUGGGCUUGACAUCUUAUCUGCACAAGAUAAGUUUCUUGGAAGGAGAAACAAUAUCUUAUUACCAGAAAAUGGCCAGUUUAUUUAUAAAUCAAGUAGAUAAAGCCCCCUCCUCCUUUCCCCCCUUUCUAUCUAGUGCACUUAUGGAAGUAGGUCAAUGAAAUUUCAUUUAUGUGAAUUAACAUACGCAUAAAUACACUUUUUUUGUUUUUUUUAACGACUUUUAUGAAAACUGGUUUUGUUCUCAAUCUAGCUAAAUUAAGAAAUUUUUAUGUUCACAAUCGACUAAAUUAUAGUAGAAGAUAAAACUAAGACUCAACCUAGGCAUCAAAAGUUUAAUGAGUAGCAGAAAUAGACACUGUACCUGACAUGAAUCCUUCAUGACUAAAAGAAUGAAUUCCUAGAAGAUCGACUUCUUUAACUCCUAUUUGAAGUGGCUUUUAAUCGAAUGUAAAAAAUGGGGAAGGACACAGAAAUACAUCAUCCACCAAUUAAUAAAGUAUUUUAGGUCUAAAGUUUGAGAGUGAAAGGAGAUGUGACAAGUUUUUCCGACCUGCCUAUAUCUCCUUUCCUUCUUCGUUCAUUCUACUGGUAAGCGGCUGCUAUUCUUCGGUCACUCCUGGUGAGCAUCCGGUGCUGUGGGUAUCCUUCCAUUGGCUUCAUGAUCUCUAAUUGCAAUCAUCAUCAUCGUGUUAUCCACUGUUUUUUUAGCUCCAGUUCUGAUUUGCUUCAUAUAUCAUGAGACUAAACUAACGACACAAAAAAGAAAACCUGUCUUUCAUGGGCAGUUACAUAUCUCGCUCUGCAGCUCCUUGGCGAGGUUUGCAUGUCUGUGUUCCUCUUAUGUUCUUGUCUUUUGGUAGUCACUGAUGUAGCAUUUGGCGAGCUCUUCUAAUAGAUUCUCUCUCUUUCACGCGUGCAUAAUGCGGCCCACUAAGGAAUAGAAGUCCAAGAAUGUAAACAGAAUAAGAAACAUAAUUCAAAUUGUUCGCAGGAUGUGAAGGUUCUGGGAUGAAUAUUCUCUUCGUAGCAUUAUAAUAUUCCAAAAAGGGAGUUAAACCUCACCUUCGCAUGACUUGGGUUGUAACGUGGCCAAAACCUUGCACUUAAAUGUCACCAAUUUCUUCGAUGCUCUUGUGAUCAGGCUAUACAUGGUAAUGUCUGUGAAUUCAUUAUUCUUCUUGCAACAACAAAGUCCACUUCUUUUUAUACAGAUGCUGUUCUUUUUGCUUUGCAUUGUCUAUGUUAUAGUGAAGAAGCUCCUAGCAGAAUCCUGAUAUAACCGCGAUAGUCAACAGAUGUUUCUUCUGUUGCAUUCAUCCGUUGCUUGUGUUGCAUUUAGUAGAGCCUUCAGUUGCCAAAUCAAAGAAUGUUGGCCAGAAGAUUGAGGGCGUUGAUGUCUAAAUCAAGUGGUGUAACUCCUAAUGAGAUUGACUCAGAGCUUAAUUGCUAUUGUGUUCUUUGAUCACCAAUUCUCAUCACAAAAACAAAGUAGGAAUUGGUUUUAUGGUUGUAAUAAGUUGUGGAUUGAUCUGAAUACACCAGAUUGAGCUAAGGACAUGAUAAUCAACAUCCUUGAAAUGAACCAAGCAUUGUGCAAAUCCAGCCAAUCAAGGCACGAGGAGGUUAAUGUGAGCUAACUUCAACUGAAAUCAAGGCUCAAAGGGCCAAGUAUAGACAUUAAAAGGAGCAAUUGCAUGAGUAAAGAAAAAAAAUGAUAAUAUCAAUGGUCAUUUGUUCUAUUAAGGUGUUGUGUCAUUGUGCUGGUUGUGUCUAACACGAGAGUUGGUGGGAAGUUUCUAAGCCUUCCAUAGUUUAUUUAGGUGUGAGUGUGUGCAUCUGUGUCAGGUUGAACUACUGGAAGUCCUGCUUCCCUCGUCUUCAGUACGCUUGUUCCGGCUUCAUGCUUCGGACUUGCUUUACCACUGAAAACUAGAUAUUCUCAUGGAAAGCUGUUGGCUCUUUGGCAAUAUGACAGAAGCUUUCGUCGUUCUUACCAUUCUUACUAAAGAACUUCUAAUACCUUUUCAUUCUGUUACGAAAAAUCUAGUGAACUUAACAGCUUUGGCCUCUUGUAUAGUCUAAUAUAUCACCAGAUGUAAUGGCACAUGCUAAUCUUGAUUCUAGAAGAGGCGCCUGUGAAGCGAGACAAUGAAAUGCCAACCCCCUCGAGCGGAAAACAUUCCAACAUAAACAGUGAUUUAAAAUUUGACCCUGAAUGGUCAGGGCAGGACGAAUGAAAUGAAGUCUCAUUGUUUUCUUUUUCUUAACCCAACGGUUUAUCAGAGGUCUAAAUACUUGUGUACUUCCACACUAAAGACACUUAAAUACGUGAUUUUCAACAAUACUUCCACAUCUCUGCAUAUUUGCAGACCUGUAGGGAAUACUCGUUCUCGUGCUGAAUAUGUUAGUUUUUUUUCUCUUAUUGAAAUCAUCGAACAGGUGCAUAUGUACAGCUUGGGACUCCACUUUGCUUUUGUUAGGUCCCUUCGCUCGGAUUCGUGGUCAUCGGUUUCACAGCACUUUUGGGCGUGUCAGACACAGGCCCUCAUCCACAUUAGAAAGCAAUUUCCAUAAUGCUAUGCCAUUUUGUAGGAUUAACUCCAUGUAUCGAGUCACAUAGGCAAGCCACCUUUAGGCUUUUUAGGUAGGUCCACGAUAUAUUUUGCCAGCCUCGUCGAUCAGAAUGCCGAAAUCUUGGGUGAUUGAUUUGGAUAUAAAAGCAUUCCUACUUGAAUGUCAAGUCUUCUAGAAGUCCAUGAUAUGUAGAGCAUCCCAUGAAUCAAAUAAGAUGCAAAUUCAAAAUCUCAAAAAUUCGUUCAACUAUAAAUUUUUUCACACAGGAUGAUACAAAUGACUGAAUAACCAAAAACGACAUGACUUUCAAGCUCAGCAGCCUCAAAGCAUUCUAAUUAUAAAUUAGACAUACAGAAACCACUAAAAAUUUGAGAGUAACCCUUUUUCUCAGAAUCAAUUUCUCUCAACACAGACACGAAUUCCGUCCAAUAGAAAAAAGCCACACCAGCUGCCAAUGCAAUAACCAAAAGCAAAUCAUAAUGAAAGAACUAGAUGUACCUGGACACGAGUAGUGGCGUCCUGACCAGACACGAUGCCGUGCCUCAUCUGCUUCACCAUUGCCUGUCUCUUGUUCCUCAGCAGAUUUAUACUCACCACUGUCAUCUUCGCUGCCGUUUUGCUGUUCAUUCCCAAAACAAAAUAACAAAAAACUCUCCAUGAAUAUAACUACAAAAAGCCCUCACCUAUUAUUUGCUAUUUACCAGAACAUAGAAAAGUAAACGCCCCCAAAGUAAACCAAUUUCAUGUGGGGAUUUUAUGUUGCAUACCUUGUGAAUAGUGGCCAAGCGUUUGGUCUCUUCCUUGAUCUGACCCAGGUGAGAGAGGAUGCAGUCGCAGAUCUCCAUCUUCUUCCUCUUGAUCCCCUCCUCCUUGGCCCUGAAAGUGGACGGAGCAGCCCUCGACAUCUCCUUGUCCUCCCUCAACAGCGACGUGUUGCUGCUGAAGCUCAAGUUCCCCGACGAGCCCUGCAGGAUCAGCAGCAGCUGUUGCUGCCGCUGCCGCUGGGCCUGUUGCAAGGCCUGCUGCUCGUGCACCUGCAUCAAGAUCUUCUUCUUCUUCUCUCUGAUCUUCAAGCAACAGAAACCCCUGUGACCUCUGAUAAACCAAGUGUAUAAACUUCAGUACCGUCCCCACUGAUAAACCAAGAAUAUUCCACCAUCUUUGCUGUCUAAUACUAAUAAACCAAGUAUUUGAACUUCAGGACAGUCUGCACCAAAUGCAACCAAACCAAGUGUUCAAACUUCAGGCAUAUGGCUAGCCUACCGAUGGAAAUUUACCUCAAAUGGAGCCAGGAGUUCCUCCAUCUUCCCUGGUACGCACAUUUGUUCUUGUGCGCUGCUCUCUGCAUGCGAAACCAAUGAUGGGUGCCAAAACAUCGACGGGUCUGUUAAUGCAGCCGGCACACUCUCUUCCUCCUGCAAAAACAGGGGACAUUAACAAACCCAGGGCAUUGUAUUUCGCCAUUUUUGUGGCCUCACCAGAGGAGGGAUGCCUAAUUACCACAUGUUGGUCCUACUCAAAUUCGAUUUGACAAAGAAAUGAGUACACCAAUUUUAAGAUUCACAAACAAACGUAUUUUAUCCAGGUUUUUGUUUAAUUGCCUGAAGGGCUCCAAGCAACAAAUUUGGCAACAUGAAAGAAGAAAAAAGAAUACCGUCUUCCCUAAGUCGCCAUCUAAUGUUGAUUACUGUAACACUGCAAACAUGCUUUUUAACCCAUAGCAUGAAUGGUGCUGUGCCAGUAAAAGCUUCAGCACCUCAGAUCAGACUGUCCUUGAAAAUUGGCACUCCAAAAAUAGAUAGCACCUUGGAUCAUCAAAUCAUGUAGACCAGUUCAAGCUCUAAAUUGAAAAUAUCCCAAAUACAAUAUUAAAGAAAUCGCACAUUCAUUGGAUAUUCUGGAGAUUCUAAGUGAACAAAUAGCACUUGUAAGUAAAGAUGACACCUUUAUUUUGACUCCACAGGCCAAAAGAUGGAUUCAUAAUAAUUUGGAAUUGAGUUUACAGGAAAUUUCCAUGGGCGUUAUGCAUGAUAUUCAAGCCAAAUCCCCAAUCCUUUUAGCAUGUUUCCGAAGCAGAGAACCGCGAAAUUGAGCAUUAAAUAUAGUUGCUCCCACCUUAAUCAACCGAAACAAAAGCAUGCGAACAAUCUGUGUCCUUUUUCUGUUUUGCUUUGGACGAUCCUAUCUCUUAUUUUGCUAAGAUUAGUAAGAUCGCAACAACAUCCUGCGUUUGGGCAUAUACCCAUUGACAUCAUUCCCAAACUUCAGACCUAUUCAAUCCACAAGAGAAAACAACUCAAAUGAGUUCCCAUACCUCCUUCGGAAUGAAAGCAGAGUACAAGAAAGGAGAUUAAGCCGCCCGGCUUUGGACGAAGAGGACCCGACGUCGCCGUCGGCCUCAUCGAGCUCUUGCGCAAGGACUCGAUGUCGUCGCGCUCGAACGAAGAUGAAAUUUGGGGAUUCGGCGAAGAAGAAAAAGGACACUCAGAUGAAGAAGAGGAGGAUCGAUGAAUGAGAAGCGGACUCCAUGAACAAGAAGUACACUAUGGACGAGAAAGACUGAUGAAGAUGUGACGAGAACUUGAGAAGAAUACUCAAUCAUUGCGUUUGAAGGCUCGAAGCUCUAUGCCACGUAGGAGUGUGAAAAGAAUAAACAAAAAUUUUCAUUUAACUAAUUGAACAAAAUUAAUAAAAUGACUCGAUUAUACUAAAUUAACAAGUUUUAUUACUCGAUUGUAAUUUUUUGUAAGCUUUAGGACUUCUAAUAUAUUUAUCUCUUUAAUGUUCUAUCUACACUGUAAAUAUUGCAAAUCAUUAAAGUCAUUGUCAUAAUGAUUGGUAUUAAGGAAGAAAUGAAGAAAAAAAAAGUGCAGUAUAUUACGUAGAAAAAACGCUAAGUAAAACCAAUUGUUUCUUAUAAAAUGAGAGAAAAUUUUAAAUAAUAGGCUAUAAGCUAUUAUAUAUAUCCUAUAAAAUGAAGUUUUUCCGAAUAUUUGUGAUAAAAUCUGAACCUCUUACUGCAACUAUGUAACUUUCUCAUAUACAGAAAAAAGGAAAAGCUAGAAAAACGCAGAGAGAGAAAACAUCACAUGCGUUAACUGGUUUUUAAAGUAAGUGAGACCGAGACUUAUUGUAUGAUUGUUUCUUUUUUUAUUUUCCACAAUUAUUAUAAAUCUCCUUAUAGUUGAAUUUAUGUUUGUGGAUGGUCUUGCUGACUUAC